AACUCCUGAAAUCCGAAACCCCAGUUUUGAGUACUGUUCAUGCACACGUGAAAUGUUGAUUUUCAGGGAAUUCUAAGCUUACAGGGAGCUUAGUGAGGUCCCAAGGAAGCUCGGAGUACUUAAUUUGAAGGUUUUGGACGUCGGGAUCAUAGGGUUUGAAGUUGGUCGGUUUUCUUGGAUUUUCUCCGGUGAGAUUUCGUGUGUUUUUUAGCCUUAAAUUAGUAUAACGUGAUUCUACAUGCUUAGGGCUUCAUUUGAUGUAAAAUGCGUAAAAAAUGGUUGAGAAUUGACGGAGAAAAUGGAGUUUGAAAAAUCUCCAGUUUUCCGACGCUGGCGAAACCAGUCCGGCGACUGGAGGUAGGGACGACGCGCGUGGGGGCGCGUAGGUCCGUACCAUUCCUGGCGCGUGGCAAGUCAAAAAAAAUUUCUAAAAAUUUUUGUGAUGAUCUUGAGGUUGUGUAGAUCACUGUGGUAUAUUCAUAUACCCAAAUUGAGCAUCGUAUGAGAAGUUAUUACGUAUUGUUGGUUAUAUGCUUUAAAUAACGUUUUUAUAGUUGUUUUGCAUAUAGGUGAGACCUAUCCCGAGGACAAGCGUGUUCAAGGGCGUCACGAGGGUUACGACCCUUCGACAUACAAGUGAGUGGGCAGUUAUUUUUUGUUUAUACCUAUAUACUACUGAUUUUCCCAGAAAUUGAAUAUAAAUGAAAUUAUGUUUUAAAAUGCCGUGCAUGCAUAUUAUAUGAAAUAUAUGAGUUAGUAUUUGAUGCAUAUAUGUGAAAUGGUGUUGUGGACGCACAUGUGAGUAUUAGGUGAGUUUUAUGUUCAUAUGGUUUAUUGAUGAUGUGAAUUGUGUUGAGAGCUCAUAACCUACACCCUUGGUGUUAGUGUUUAUAUUAUUCACCCUGCACCACACGCUCACCUUGGAUCCAAGUAGGUACAUGUCGUACAGAUCACUAGAGAUGAUUCCGACAUGUCGUACAGACCAUUAGAGGUGGUUCCGACUUGUAGGUGACUUUAGAUUAUUAUACAGUUGUUGAUGAGAGAAGCACUAGAGCGUAUUCUUACACCAUUCUUGUCGUACAGACUACUUCAGGUAGUUCCGAUUUAUGUGCAGAGUAGUGCCGUAUAGGUCACUGUGGUGACUCCGGUUGGUUGGAUAUUGAGCUAUAGAAUUAACCAUACAUGACAGCUGCAGGGUCUCCAGUUGAUUCAUUAUUUCACCUGUUUUAUUGAUGCAUCCUUAUCAUGUUUUAAUUCAUGGCAUGGCAUAUUCUUGAAAAGUGUUAAAGACUUGUGAUUUGAGUUUUGUUGUGAUAUAUGAUUAUGUAUAUACUAUUUUUCUGGGAAAGUAUACAAGUUUUACAGUGAAGGGUUAGAAGUGUUGUUAAAUGAAAUAUUUUUGAAAAGCUUUGUUUUACUGACCCACUCAAUCUUGUUUUGCGCCCCUCUAGGUUCUAGUUAGCAGUGUUGGAGGCUCACGAGGAUUCCCACGACAUUCUGACAGACUACUUAAAUGUAGGACUCACCUUCAGGUGUUGUAAUUUAGUUAUGGUCCUACUUGACUACACUUAGUAUUUAUGCUCUGAAUAUGUGUGUUUCACACUUAAAACUUACUCUAGCAUGUUAGUUGGAUAUUAUUGCUAGUAGUUGGUUUUUAUUCCUUUGUAUUUCUUUUAUCCUUUGCUUUCGCAUCGCACUUUUGGUUACGUCACGCCCACGUGACGGCCAGCAUACCUUGAUUCUAGGAUCGGGGUGUGUCAUCCACCAUCUUUGCUAGAUAAAUUAGAAAAUUUAACUUUAAGUGCAAAUAAUAAUAUUAGAAGACCUAAGCUAAAUCCUUUUGAUAAUAGAAAGUGGAAUUCUUUAGGAAAAAAGGAAUAGAAGUAGUUAGAGCUAAGAUAUUUAUCCAAAUAAAGAAGAAGCACAAGAAUUUACUCGAAGAGGUUUUGAGAGAACACAGAAAAAUAAAUAUAACUUGUAUCAAUUAGGUUUAUUUGAAAACAGAAGUAAAAUUGUAAGUAGCAUCAGUCAACAUGAAGUUAGCCGUAAUGAUAAAGAAGUCACACUUAAUCUAAUUAGUAAAGAAGCAGUUACUCAUUUGAAAAAAUCACAUUUUAGUCAAAUUCAUAUAGAAAAAAUAUUAAUUGGAAUAACAUGAUUAACUAGAGCACAAGUAGGCACAAAAGCAUUAGUAUACAUAUAUGAUGAUAGAUGGGAUAAUCACCAACAAGCAACAAUAACAACAACUGAAGUAGACUUAAGUUCAAACUUAGCAGUUAUAGGUUGUGUUCCAAAUUUUGUUAUGACGAUUAAUGAAUUUAGUAAAUAUAUUAAAGUGAGCAUAAGAACAAAAAAUUAUAAUAUGAAAGGAGUAUAAAAAUUUGUGUAUUAGCUUAAUAUAUAUAGGUAAAGUGUCUGAUAGAUAUAAUCAUAAGUUUAAUUUAGAGUUUCAAAAUUUAGUUCAAACAUUUGAUAGUACACAUGUAAAUAUGAUAGAAGCAAAACCCGUAAAUAAUAAUUUUUUAGAAGGAACUCAGUGGACAUUGCUUAAUUUACAAGUAACAACAAAUAUACAACCAGAUAAAGUAUAAAUAUAUGAAACUAAUACAUGUCAAGCAACAAUUAGGUUUAGUAAUUAUAAGCAACUAGAAAAAAUAGAAGAGGAUGAGAGUAUACAUAUGCCUUUUGAUAAUUUAGAUAUUAAUUUAGUUGAGCAAAAUUUUGAUCAUAUUGUAGAUAAUCUUAUAGAAGAUAUUGAUCAUUUAGAUGAAGAACAAUAUUUGGAAAAAUAUAAUCUAGGACAACAUAGAAUUUCAGAUGAAGAGAAGAAAAAAAUUAAUCUUAGAAAUAGGAGUAAAACAUAUUUUAGGAUCAAAAGAAUAUAAUAAUUUAUUAGAAUUGAAAGCAGAAUGUAAUCCAGCAAAAGAAAGUAGUACAUCAGGAGUAGAAAAUCCAGGACACGCAAGUAGAACUGAUCAACAAUUUUUAAGACUAACUAAUGAACAAUAUAAUGAAAAAGCAAAAGUAGAUUAUAUAGAAGAAAGUAUGAUAAAACCUAGAAAAAAUAGGAUUCCAUAUUUGAGAGGGUUAGGACAAAGUAAUAUAGCUGGUAAUAUAUUAAAUUUAGAUAGUGUGGAUCCACAAGAUUGAGAAAGAACGAUUGAGAGAUGGGAAAAAGGCUGCGUACAUGCAACAUUAAUGUUAGAUUUUAGUAAUUCACAAAAUAUGUUAUUACUUUGAGUAUACUUUGGAUGGUUUAGUUUUUUAUUAUUUCUAGUCAUGGAAAGUCCAAAAUCCAGAACAACAUCAGGCAGCUAAAACACAUUUGUGAUUUACAGAGGCGAACAAGAGUUUUUAGAUCAUAAUAGGUUAGAUGGCAGAGGCGAACAAGAACAAAUAAGAGCAAUUAGAAAUUUAGAACAAUUACAAAUUUGUGAUUUACAGUAUAUAGCUGAGUAUACCACAUAUUUGUUUAAAUAUUUAGGAAGAACAUGUAGAAUUAGUGAUAUUAAUUUAUUAGAUACUUACAUGACAAAAAUAAAAGGACCAAUAGGAGUAAAGAUUUGGAAUGAAUGGCAAAAGCACCCAAAGAAAAUUGAUAUUGCAAUAGGACCUAGAAUUCAACAUUUGUAUGAUAUACUUAGAUAAGAGUGUAGUCAAAUAAAAGCUAAGAGACAAAUUAGGAAGCAAUUUUACAUGAGUUGUAAAAAUAUAGAUUUACCACAACAGUAUGGUUGUCAUAAGAAAAAUAAGCAUAAGAAAAUAUACAAAAAGAAAUAUAAGUCAUAUAAACACUACAAACAACAUAAGAAUUUCAGUAUAAGACUUUCAAGAACAUAUAGGAAAAGAAAAUAUAUUCCAAAACAAUUUAGAAAAAGAAAUGGCAGACCUUGGAUUAGAAAAUAUAAAGCGCCAAAAGAUAAUAGUUGUAAAUGUUAUUCAAGUGGAGAAGCUGGACAUAUUAGACCUAAAUGUCCAAAAUUAGGUAAACAGUCAAAAGAAAAAGUACAUUUGAUGGAGUUGUUUAAGUUAGAAGAAGAUUAGAAUAUUCAGUCAAUAUACAGUUUAGAUGAUUUAAGUGAUAAUGAGAGUAUUUAUAGUAUAGAGAGUAUUAACAUGAUAGAUUCGGACUCGGAUUCAAGUAGCACAAAUAGUGAUCUAGAAGAGUAUAUGUGUGCAUUCAUAGAAGAACAUCAUGAAGAAGAAUAUAAAUACAUUAAUUUAGGUUGGCCAGAAAAAUGUCAUAAGUGUAGUAAAUUAGUUGUAAAUAAAUACUAUAAUACAUAUUCAAUAUUAUGUGAAAAGUGUUAUAAUAAUAGGUUAUUAGAAGUUAAUUCAGCAGAAUCACAAGAAAGUAAUGAAAUAUUAGGAAAUAUUGUUCAUAGUAUAGAAAAACCAAAAAAUAGUUCUUUAAUUAUCAUAUAUUGUGAAAUAGAAUUAGCAAAAGAACAUAAGAUACAAACAACAGCUAUGAUAGAUACAGGGAGUACAAAGAGUGUCAUAAGAGAAGAGUUAGUACCAAAAAAAUAUAGAUAAAAAUUAGCAAAACUAGUGAGAAUAACACAAUUUGAUGAGAGACCAGUUUACUUAACACAUUAUAUAAAUAAUGAUUUAUUAAAGUAGAAAAACAACAAUUUAAUUUACCAUUAACAUUUGUUUAACAAGUAGGAUCAUAUCCAUUCAUUUUAUGUUUCAACUUUUUGAAAAGUUUACAAGGUUUUUUAUUUAUGAACUCUAACAUAACAUUUUUCAAAAGAGACAUUACAAUAACUGACCAAAGUAAUAUUGUAGAAGCAUACAAAAGCAUAAGUAUAGAAUAGUCUAGUGACCAAGAUAGUUAUCAUUUAGAAAACUCAAAAGAAAAUGAUAAGCAUAAUAACGUAGAAGAAUUUGAUGACGACAUAUUUGAACAUGAAUAUCCGAUUUUAGAAUAAGGAAAUCGUAUAGAAAUACUACAGUUGAGUAAACCAAGGAGUUUAGAAGAAUUAUUACAAUUAGCAGAACAAACUAGAAUUAUAGGAGAAGACCUACAGUUACAUUGGAGUAAAAAUAAAAUACUAGCAAAAUUAGAUAUAAUUAACCCAGAUUUAACCAUUAAGACGACUGAUAUACCCUGUAGUUUAAUAGAUAAACAAGAGCUUGAGCAGCAAAUACAAGAGUUGUUAAAUUUAAAAGUAAUUAGACCAUCUAAGUCUAGACAUAGAUCAGUAACAUUUAUUGUGAGAAAACAUUCAGAAUUAAAGAGAGGUAAGGCUAGAAUAGUUUAUAAUUACAAGAGAUUAAAUGAUAAUACAUAUGAAGAUAGUUAUAAGUUACCAAAUAAGGAUGAGUUUAUAAAUAAAAUUCAAGAGAGUAAAUAUUUUAACAAAUUUGAUUGUAAAUCGGGAUUUUGGCAAAUACGAUUAGUGGAAGAAUCAAUUGAGUUGACAACUUUUACUUGUCUAGAAGGACAAUUUGAGUGGCUAGUUAUGCCAUUUGGACUUAAAAAUGCUCCUUCAAUCUUUGAAAGAAAGAUGGAUCAAAUUUUCAAAAUAUAUGAUAAUUUUUGUAGUGUUUAUGUAGAUGAUAUUUUAGUACAUAGUAAAAAUAAAAAUGAACAUAGGAAACAUUUAGAGAUAGUAUUACAAGAAUUUAUCAAUAAUGGAAUUGUGAUUAGCAAAAAUAAUAGCAUUAGAAAAGUAAGAUAUAGAAUUUUUAGGAAUGUAUAUCAAGUCAAGUACAAUACAAUUACAAGAUCAUAUAGCUAAAAAUGUGUUAGAAUUUCCAGACAAAUUAGAAGAUAAGAAAUAGUUACAAGCAUUUUUCGGAUUGUUAAAUUAUGCAAGAAAUUUUAUCCCUAAUUUAGGAAGAAAAAUAGCAGUAUUAAAUAGUAAAACUAGCAAAACAAGACAAAAAUAUUUUAAUAGUGAAGAUAUAAAAUUAGUUCAAAAUAUAAAGGAAGAAAUUACUCAAUUUAAACCAUUAACAUUACCAUUAGAUGAUAGUUACAAGAUAGUUGAAACAGAUGCUUCAUCAUUAGGAUGGGCAUGUAUACUAUACCAGAAAAAACAUAAGGAGUCACCAAAGUCUGACUAACAAGUUUGUAGAUAAUCGUCAGGAAAAUUUAGUGAUGUACUAUCAAGAUUACCAUCAAUAGAUUUAGAAAUUUUAGGGAUAAUUAAUUCACUUGAAGUAUUUUCUUUAUUUUUACAUAAUGAAGUAUUUACGAUUAGAACAUAUUGUCAAAAUAUAGUUUCUCAUUAUAACAAGAUACAUGCUAAUAAACAGGCAGCCCGAAGAUGGGUUAAUUUUGUUGAUUCAAUUACAGGAAAUGGUUUUAAACUAAUUUUUGAACAUAUAAAAGGUAAUGACAAUACAUUGCCGAUAUCUUAUCAAGAUUAAUUUAUUGAACAUGUAUGAAAUAUCGUGGACUAUCAUCCUCAAAUAGCUUAAGACCACAAGGCAGAAGAGCAUCUUUCAGUAGCAUAAUGAUGCACCAUCAACCUCCACCAUUUAGUGGAUUCCAAAAUAGCAUAAGCAGACCAACAUCACCACCAGUACCUACUUUCAACUUUAAUGGCAAGAGCACCAGGGCUUUCUGAUAUGCAACAUGUUCUUUUAGAUAAUUUUUGGAAUAUCCAAAUCAAGCAGCCAAGCAUGAGGUUAGGUCAUGAAAAAUUAAUUAUAGCCUUGGAACAAGAGUUUGAUAGUUUUAAUUUUAAUUUACAUCAAAGCCAGCAUCAUAUUCAUUCUCUUGAGCACAACCUUCAAGUCCUCUUUAGGGACCAUGAGUCAUUACUUGGUAAGUUUACCAAAAUGAACCAAGAACUCCAAUCUCUUAGAAUGCAGCAAAAGGCAAGUGACACCUUGAAAAGAGAAUUGAAGAUAGGUUUAGAAAUUGAUCAGCAUAAGUAUAAAGGAAAAGAGGUUAUUAAACCCAUAGAACAAGAGGCUAAUGAGCCCGUAGAAGAAAUUAAGAUUGAGCUCUUAGAAAAAGACAUUGAAAUGGAGCAACAUCAAAAUAAUGAGCAGCAUUAGAUUCUGAGUGACAAAGAAAAACAAGAAAAAUAUGAAAGUUUUCUUAGGAAUAUAUCUUAAGACUUAAUAUUAGAUGAUAUUUUAUUAGAAGAAAUUUCAAAAGCAAAAUUGAGAAUAAUCCACCAGAUAUGCAAAAUGAGAUCUUGAGCAGAGCAUCAUAGUCUAUGAAGGAGUUACAAUUACAAUUAGAAUGUGCUUUGUAUCAGUCCAUCUUUGAUCCAAAACCAGAGAUAGAUAUUAUUACAAAGAUGUAUCCACCAUGUCUUUGUGAUAGUACAAAGAAUUGUAUUUGUAAGCCAGAGGUUAACAUAACUGUGGCCAUGAUUAACAUGAGAGAUUUUAGACCAUGGCAUUUUAGUUAUGAGCAUCAGAAAAAAUAUAAUGUGGUAGAAGUUACCCCUGCCUUACUAUUAAAGUUAGGCUAUCUUGAUAAAAUAUUCAUUAACCAUAUUUCCCAAUUAGAAUCAUUUCCUGAAAAGCUUAUAAAAGUAGCAGAAGAUUAUCUAGAAAAGUGGAAAGAAAUUUGCAUAAGUUUAUUAGUAGCCCUCCAGAUUGGUAUGUACAUAUGCAUAAGGAGAAAGCUAGGCAUAGCCAUGAUUAAUGAAGAGUCCUUUAGACUAUCCCCUAUCUCUCCACACAAGUGGACUCCUUCAUACAGAAGUUCUAAAAUUUCGAGGGAUCCAAAUGUUUGUCUUAGAUGAGUUUGAAGACUUUAGGUAUGAUAUGGUAUUAGUAGCAAAAGAAGAAGAAAGGUAUAUUUACAGCAAGACAAGGAUCAGUUAUCAGCUCUAUUGGAAGCCUUAAAAUUUCAAAGAAGAAACAGCAGAAAUGUACUACAGGGUGAAAGAAAAUAGAGAAAGAGAUGCUGAGCUGGUAGAAGAAGAUGAACAGUACUGGAACAAUUUGACAGAAGAAGAGCUGCAUAACAUCGACAACAUGAUGGAAGCAUGAGAAGAUGGUAGCAAAAUAGUAUAAGUUGAAUAGCAUCAUGUAAAAUAAUGUAUUUCUAGACGGAAAUGUCAACAUCAUUGUGGACCCCACUAUAAUAAUAAAAAUGGCAUAAGAGUAAGUAAAGAAAACAGUUUGAUCCAUUAUGGACUUUUCAUACACAAAAUGUCCUUUUGAUUAAGAAUGAAUAGUGCCAAACCCUUUUCGUUAAAACUCCAUUUGAAAAAUCCUUCCAUGUAAAACAAGUUUUCCUAAUCCACUAGAAAACUAUCAUCUUGUUCUCCUCCAUUGAAGAUGACCUAUCUAGUGUUUUAGUAGGGUGUGUGAAAAGGUGGGGUAGGAGAAAGAAUAGAGCUUUGCCGUCAAACAAUGCACAAAGUUCUUUUGUUUUUAAUCGAGUGUAAUGUGUUAAAAUAAGUUACUAAGAAUCUCAACCGAUUGAUUAAUCUAACAGCUACGAUAAAUUAGUCCCUCACGAGACAUCAAAAAGUGGUCCUUAGGAGAGCAUCCUUGAUUAAACCUAAACCACGAUAAUUGAGCUUUGUAGUUGGCCGUCAAUCAAAAUUGUUUGAACCAUAGAAAUGUGUAGUUGUGGUUUUGGGUGUAAUUUGAUUAGAUCAAGUAUGUUGUGAAAGGGCAUAAGCUUUUCUUUACUUUAUAUACUCUUUUAAUGUUUUAUUUGAUAUGCAUGCAAAUUAGAGUAGUUGGGUUCAACACCAAAUAGGGAGACACAGUUUUAUUUGAUUAAAAAAGUAAUUAAAAUCAAUCAAUCUCUCUAGACUGAGAUCCAACACUAGGCUUAUGCUUGAUCAAAUCAAAUGUUCAUAAUCAUCUAAGGCCCUAAGGCAACUAUAUAAGUGGCCAUAAGGCAACUAUAUAAGUCCAUCAUAGAAUGCAAAGCUUUCAUUAGUAGUACUAUAUACUCUCGCUUCAAAAUCCAUUUUACAUAAAUAAGGGGAGUAUCAUGAUAGGGAUUUUACCACUUGAAAAAGUAGGGAUAAAAACACUUUAAAAUACUUGCGAGAUUACAAGGUUAUCGUAGUAUAGCAGCUCAAGCAAGGUCGAUCUCCACAUGGAUUGAAUGAAUAAUUUAUGCUAAAACCAAAUCUUAAUUAACUAUUUGAAAACAAAGUUUGGAAGAGGGUGGUUUUAUGACCUAAAAUAUUAAAAACGAAUUUAAUUAAAAACAAUUAAAUAAAUUAGCAACAUAAUAAAAAAGCAAAAGAAAAUAGUUUUGAAAAUAAAUUUGAGCACUAGGGUUCCGCCGUCACCUUAACAAUCCUACGCAGUUUUUCCAAUUACUUAUGAAUUACACAUGCAUAUUUGAAGGUUAGGUUUUCCUAAAGUAUACCCUACUUGGAACCUACAACAUAGAACGUAUAUCUAACAUGCAACCCGUCCGUGGCGUCCAGAUCGAAUGUGAACAUGCAAAACUCAUUCAGUUUUGUGAAAUCCUUUUGAAAAACUAUACAACCCUUAAGACGUGUCGUCCAUCCUAAGAAGUUACACAUAUUAAUCACAAGAAGCCAGCGCCAAUUUCAGCGACAACCCUCCGCCAAAAUUGUAUGAAAUUACUUUUCUAAAUACCCUAAUGGUGGCCAAUCAUCAAGACAAUUAGAUAGUUUAAAGUACAGUAAUUAAUAAUUCAAAACUUUCAUGCAUAAUAUCAUAAGUAAAUUGAAAAGAAACUACAUAUUCUUGCUAAGGCUUGUGGCCUCGCCCUAGCAAACAAAACUAGUUACGAACAAUCAUAAAACAAAAUAUUAUUAAAGACAUGGAUAGAAAACACCUUGAAAAUAAACUUGAAUCCUCCAAAGUAGUGUGUGCGUUUUCCUCCUUUUUCCCCCUUUAACCUAAUGGCUAAAUAUCUUACUUAUACUAAUACAAAAUAAAACCCUAAAAGGUCUUAGAAUAAAACUAGGAAACAUAAUAAAAUAAUAAAACAGAAAAUAAAUGGUUUCCUAUUUAAACUGAAAUUCGGACUUCUCAGAAAAUAAAUCUUUUGACCGACCACAUCAACUCCAAUUUGGUCCCAAAAGAUCUCUUUUAAAAGCUGAAGAAGUCCCCUACAAAUCCUCAAAAGGAAUCUUAAUCAAAAUAUGCUCUCUUGACCUUUCAAAUACCCAAAACGUCUAGUAACGUCAAUCUGGGAAAGCUGUGCGCUAAGCCUUAAUUUCAUCACCACGGUCAAACGGCUAAGUAGAAAAAUUUGAAACUUUGACACAAUCAUCUUAAAAGACUCACAAACAUCCUCCAAUUAGAAUCACUCCAAAAUUCAUCCGUUUGGUUACUUUUUGCUCCAGAGGAAGUCGAAUGUCCUAUGUUAAAAAUAUAAAGCAAAAUAUCAAAAUCAUACCAAAAUAACCAAUAAAUUAUUACUAAUAUUAGGAUAAAAUAUAUAAUAAAAUAUUGACUCAUCAUAUCAUAUGCUACUAAAUCAAUCACAUCGCCCAAUAGUUGUGAUAGGACCAAAUUGUUUUAAUGCGAUUAAAAUGCAAGCUUAUAUGUGGUGAGACAAAAAACCCUCAACCAAACUAAAAGUAAGUUGACAAACGUGAAGGUGCUUUGAACACUCUUUGGUUGCCUUCCACCAUCGGUAGCCCUCUUACGAAGGUUAGAUGGUGCAUAGUGCUUCACCCAAUGAUGGGGAACACAUGGUAUCACACUUACUGAAAGAGUCUACUAUUAUACAUUUGAUGUUGUGAAGGUAGGCAACAGUUAUGGCCAAUAUGAUAUUAUUCUUAGGUCAUUCUCGAACCCCUAUAGAAACUAGCAUGGUGAAAAUGACUUAACUAAGUGAAACAAUGCCAAUAUGAUAUUAUUUUGAGGCAUAUAUUCUCUAGAUGCCAAAUAAGAUGGAUACUUAGAAGAGAUGUAAUGAGCAAGAGUUACUCUCUCAUUAUUAUUAAUGAUAGCCAAUAAGAUAUUAUUCUGAGGCGGGCUUAGUAAUGGUGAGCCUACCAUACCCUACUAAGAGUUUCCUCCAAAACUCUCAAAUUCCAAGUGAGGGAUAUGGAAUUUGCCAAAAUAGUGAGCAGUGCUAUUUUAUUUAACCCCUAUACCCUGCUAAGAGUUUCCUCCAAAACUCUCAAAUUCCAAUUAAGGGAUAUGAAAUUUUCCAAAAUAGUGGGCAAUGCUAUUUUAUUUAAACCUAGAUCAAAUGGCUUAAAUCAAUCAAUUUAUAUUCAUUAUGUAAUUGUUUACCGAUAUAUUUGCAAACGCUAUCCAAAACUUGACAAAGAAAAGCCGAAGACUAAUGUUUCCUAACUUGGUAUAACCAUCCCAUAAAUUGUCUUGAAAGGAUUGUAAAUGUACUCAAGUAGUCUCAUUCUCACCAUCUUUAUAGUGAUAAUGUAUCUAUGGAAGAACAUGUUAGAUAUAUCUAAUAUAAGGUGUUAAAUAAUUAAGUGUUGAAGUGUUAAAUAAUUAACUUCAUAAAAACCAUCACAAUGAUAUUUGUUAGAUAUAUCUAACAUAAGAUGUUAAAUAAUUAAGUGUUGAAAUGUUAAAUAAUUAACAUCAUAACACCAUCACAAUGAUAUUCAUAUAAUAACAAACUCCUUCACUCCAAUAUAUAUGUGACGAAAUGCAAUAUUUAUCCAUAAUAGAAACAUCCUAUGCCAACACCAAGAGUUAAAUAAUUAACUUCAUAAACACCAUCACAAUGAUAUCCAUCAAGGAUAUCAAUUCAUAAUUCAAUAAUAUAGUAUAAGCAAAUUACUCAAUCAAUAAUAGAAACAUAAGUACACGAAUUUAUCAAUGUAAGUAAAUAAUUAACUUAUAUCGUUCUACUUAAUUAUUAAUCUCUAAAUCCCCUACCUUGACUCCAGACAAGCUAAAAUAUCUUCCUUAGCUUUCCCAAGCUCUAAGGCACCGACGAGUCUAAAGCUGAACGUUAGAGUAAAAGGACAUGACAAACAAACCAAACAUUUAUGUUGAGAGAUGAAAUGUGAGAGACAAGUUGUCCUACAUUGGUGAAGGACAAAAUUUGCUAUGGGCUUAUAUGGUCUUUGGUUACUCCCCAUAUUGCCAAUUGGUUUAAUGGUGGAAUCGCAAUUUCAUCAUGCUAUCAGAGCAGGUUAUUUCUCGUGUGAAAGCUCAAGGCCCACACGUGCUCAUGCAUCAUCCAGUUGUUGUUCACGUGUAGGUUUAAAAAUCGGCCACACGUGCGAGGGCAUGUUGAGAGUUGAAAUGUGAGAGACAAGUUGUCCCACGUCGGUGAGGGAUAAAGUUUGCUAUAGGCUUAUAUGAUCUUGGGCUACUUCUUAUAUUGUCAAUUGGCUUAAUGGUGGAACCCCAAUUUCAUUAAUUUAGUAGUAAGAUAAAAUCACUUUUCAACUUCCCUAACAAAAAGAAACUGCAGAAAACAAAAGUUUGUUUUAGUUUGUGGACACAAAACGAGCAGCUUUUUUCCUAAUCAAAUCUCGGUGAAAAUUUAUGAAUUUAUACUCGUUUUAAAGCUUCAAGAAGAAUCUUUCCAACGCUGUAAAGUUUGUAAAAGCCGAGCUCCGAAGUUGAGAGAUAAGUUCGGAAUUCGACCUUUCCUUAUACGCGAGUCAUGGACAGAAGUCAUGAGUUAAAACAGAAGUAUGUGCAGAAAAAGAAAAAUUGCACCAGUUCACGGGUUCAAAGACACCUUUUUGAACAUGGUUUUGACUCGUCACAUCUCAAUGAAAAUCUACGGGUAAAUACUGGAUUUAAAGCUUAUGAUUCUGUUUAGGUCCAAAACAUUAUUUUGGGCUAAAGGUAACAAAUGGGCCGAGACUUUUGACCCAACGGUUGUAACAGGGAUCAUGGGCCGACUGGGUAUUGGGAGUUAUCAAGACCUUUGUCGAUCGAGUCCCUUUGUGAGAAUGAUUGAUUUAGAUGAAUCCUUGAACCUCGAAGAGUGUUAAAGCUAAGGGCAAUAAGGAACACAGAAAGAAUCUGGUUCAUUGUGGAGAUGUGUUCAAAGUCAUAAUUAAAGUAGGCUUGGCCAAGUCUUAGUUAGAUCAGGAUGAGGAGUCCUAGUCCGGGUAAGGUUCUAACUCAGCCGGAAGUAGGUUCGCUACUAUAAAUACAGAGGAUGAACACAUAUUCAGGCCUCUCCAAUUCAACACACAAACUGCCCUGCGCAAACCCUCGUUCUACGCGAAACUUCUCAACAACCUUGAGAUGUUUAGUUUCUUUUUCGCCAACACAUCUUCAGUUUGGAUAAACAGCACUGAGAAUGCAAUCGGUGAACAUUUUCAGUUUAGAUAUCAGCAUUGUGAAGGCAACUGGUGAACAUAUUCAGUUUGGAUAAACAGCACUGCCAUUAUAGAAUCAGCUAACCGCGAAGCACCUUCAGUUUGGAGAAACAACAUUGCGUCAAGGCCGACUGAUUAUCUAUCCAAGUCUCGGUCGAGAAGGGUUUUCGAAUCCUUUUUGGCAGAGGUCAUCUCACGAGCCUUCUCGAUGAACUGAGGUGUUACGAAUCACUACACUUGGCUCAUUGAACGCUGAGUGGUUUUAUGAUUAGAUACUCACAAGUUGGGUUUAGAGUUCGGCAUUCUGACGGCCGAACCACAUUUAUGAUUAAGACGUACAUUUGUUUUGAAUAUUUGUGUCCAUAUAGUUUGGUGUCGAUUCGGCGUGCUUAUACUCUUAUAAAUAUAAUCACCGUGACUGAAUCCGACACCGACGAUUUGUGAACUUCGCAGAACUAGCAGCAUUGUCUUCAGGCUCUGGAACCCGAAGGCCGAGGCGUGUUCCUUCCUUGGCCGCAAUCACAAGAUCGAGAAGUUAGCAGCGCAUGCGACGCAACAUCAACAUAUUUUAAUCCUUAGUCGAACUCGGCCAACGAGUUAGCAUGCCCGUAUACAACCGAAGGACGUAGUUAGCUCAUUAGUUACUUGGCCUGCGCGCCACGUAGGCUUGGUAGUUUUUAGGGUAAAAAUUUUGGCACGCCCAGUCGGACCGAGUGCUAAAACUACGAAGUUCAUGAUCGUCGAAACACGAACGGCUAAAAAGAAAACAAUCAUGGGACAAGAAGUGUUACUUGCACAAAAUCCUCUUAUUGCUGUGACACUGGAGGCUGCAAGUGUGACACACCGAGAAAAGGAAGUUUGUCUCGGUACCCAGCCUCGGAAUAUAGAAGUCCCCAACAGAACCGCAAGUGUUUUCAUUGAAGAGAUAAUGGAGGAUUGCGACGAAGAUGGUGGUGAAGGCUCUGACCCUCCAACUAGAUCGUUUAUUCGAAGACUACUUGAUGAGCAAUCUCGGCAUGUUGAACAGACAAUUAUCCAAAAAAUGAACAGUUUACUCACGGUGAUAUGAAGUAAUGGUGAUACACACACCAAAUUACUCGAAUUAUUAGUUAGCAGAGUCUUCGAAAGGGGGUUGCUGGUCAGUCCUGCCAGCUUCCACUCAAAAGUUUCGCUACAGGCCGAAACAGGAUCUACUCGGCUCAAAACGAUUAACUUAGAAAAAAGAGGAGGAUCAAGUAGUAGAUCAGAUGGAUCCAAUCAGAGAGUGGAGGCAAGAUGGGUCGAUAUGAUCGAAGUCCAAAGAAAGAUCGAUUCGACCUUAAAAAAGGGGCUAAAGUUCCCGAAAUUCAUCCAUCCAUACCCAACUUAUGUAGAAAAGUUCGAAUAUCAUAAAGGCUUUAAGAUCCCAGAUUUCAGCCUUUUUGCUGGAGAAUCGUCCCUAUCCUCAUUUGAACAUGUGGCCCGGUUCACUGCGCAGUGUGGAGAUGUCAAUAGUGACUUCCAUAAACUGCGACUAUUCAAAUUUUCAUUGACGGGCUCGACAUUCGCAUGGUACAUCAACCUUCCACCUAGUUCUAUCCAAAGUUGGGAGGAAUUGGUCGAGAAAUUCAACGAGCAAUUCUAUUGCCCGGGGAUGGAAAAUGUCAGUUUCUUCAUUGGCUAGGAUGACUCAAACGUCUGAUGAGUCACCAAUGAAGUACCUUACAAGGUUUAAAUCGGCCAAGAAUUGGUGCAGAGUCCCUUUACCCGAAGUCGAAUUUGUUAGGCUUGCUUUGAAUGGGCUAGACGUGGAGUACAAAAAGAAAUUCCUAGGGGCAAAAUUCCGAGAUAUGUACGAACUGGCCCAACACGUUGAGCAAUAUGAUUAUUUGCUCCGAGAGGAAAAGAUCUCGAAGUCUCCAUACUGGGGAACGAUUUAUAAAAAUCCUAUGGUGAACUACGUAUCAGCCGAAGGUGAGGAUCCCCAAUAUGUUAGUGUGGACGUGGCCGAGAUAUUGUCAGGUAAAUCGUACAUUUGCAAGGCAUUGCUCACAUUAACUCCAAGGAUGCUAAAACCCGCUCGGUUGCUGAAGAGACGGUUAAAACAUCAAAAGUUUACACUUUUGAUAUCACCAAGGCCGAUGCAAUCUUCGACCAAUUGCUGAUGGCAAAGAUCAUCAAACUUUGGCUAGAACAUAACAUUCCUAAGGCCGAAGAGUUGAAAGGAAAGACGUAUUGCAAAUACCAUAAUUCGAAUAAGCAUACCAUAAACAACUGCGUUGUGUUUUGUAAUGCUAUUCAAAGUUGGAUUGAUACAGGCAAGUUAAAAUUUCCUGAGAAAAAGAUGACUGUCGACGUUGAUCCUUUUCCUUCGACAACAAUUGGCAUGGUAGAUGCUCAUUUGCCCAAAAAUAAAGGGAAAGGGAAGGCCGAGUUUGUUCCAAUACAACACGUCCUAAAGCAGAACUCUUGGUCGUGACUCAAGAUUGAUCUAUUUUCAAACGAGCCACCUAUAGAGUUUUUAGGACUGGCCAUAGUCGAAUCCAUGUCAGACAGCAGUGCAAAAGAAGCUAAGGGACCGAUGGUUUUAUGUAGCCGUUGUAAAGCAUGCGUCAUCCUAACUGAGCUAAAGGUGAAACUACCUCAGGCUUUGACACCACGACUACCAUCCAAAGUCGCGGCAACAUCUUCAAAGAAACUCGGCGGAGGCCAACGCCAGAAGGUGUUCGAUAGGCUUAGCCCUCAAACACGAACGGACGCCCCCCUUCAGCUAGACGGCGUCUUGAUUUUGACGUGCCAUUUUAUAAUGAGGAUUAUUACUCACGUAACUCCACAGCUCGAGUUCAUCGGCGAAUCAGAAAACCCUCAAGCCACCUAAACCACGCGACCAAGGUUGGUAUAGUUACAAUUCUAUUACUUGCAUGUAUAUUGCAUUAUCUAAAUCUCAGAAACAUCGAUGCCAGUGGAUAGACUGCAUAGCUUGACGACAGGCAGCACAAGCCACUUCGGCUACCAAAUCGCAGCCGAAAGAAGCAGCAGGAAGCGAAAAUUAUCAACAAACCCCAACAAUCAUGGCCGAAUUACUUCAAGGGAAAAAGGUAAUUGAUUGUGAAUUUUAAACCACCAUUGAAGAAUCCGAGAAGCGAAUCAAACUCCUCAUUCGGCCUAGGGAAAUGAAAGCUCGUUUUGAGCAUUUCAGACAAGAAGCCGAAAAUAAGCUUCCCUUACUACCCCAGCAAGAGCCGUUGAUAAGAGUCUGACGAAAUUUACAUUCUCCAUUCCUCGGAGAAUCCUUGGAGUACAUGUGAGAGUUUCACAAGACACAUUCUGCCAAUGACUUGUAUGGCCUACCCAAGGCAUCGCAAGAAGCCCUCGACCUGGAACUCACUUGCCCUGAUGUUGAACAGAUUAUUCAGAAAACUACUGACCGAGCAAUGAAGGCCAGGUUCUAGCACAUACGAGAAGCUCGGUUCUUCUGCUUCGAGGUUGACCCGUAUACGGACAUAGACACCGCCGAGCUCCCUUUAUUUUUCAAAGACCUUCAGUACUUACGACAUCAUUUCGAAGUCUUCUCAGCCGUAUCUCUUUUUGGCCUUACGGCCGAUGAGAAGGAUCGUGUGGCAUGUUUGGAUGCCUACCUAGACACAAGGAACGCUCGAAUCACCUAUGAAGAAUGACCCUGUAAAGCACUGCAAGGAAAAAACCAAGCCCCAGCAAUGAUCGAGCUCGAAGAUGAUAGCCAGAAUGAAACAGGUUUAGUUGACAUACCACAAGAGCAAGUACCCGAUAAGGUGAGAGAUGACCAGGUCGAGGAAGCCCAAAAGCAUGAUACCGUACUCGAUAACCCAGCGGACGACGACCAAGACUCGAUGGGCCAUUCAGUCAUCGACAAUAUGGAAAUCAGCAUGGUCCAUGUCCUAUCGGCUGAAUUUCAACCAACUACACCCCAACCAAAUUCCUUGGAUGGGGAUGUGGUUGCCGAUGAAGCAACACAAGUUGAUUUCAUCGCUACCGAAGGCCAUAAGCAAGCGAGUGAAGCUGACAAACUUAAAGCAACUUUGGCCACACUGUUUCCCCGCUCUUUUUCGGUUAAUCUUUAACAUUUGAAGCCGUUGUACGUCACGGCUCAUAUUGAAGGUUAUCCAAUCUUUAAAAUCUUCGUUGAUUGUGGGGCUACGGUUAAUAUCAUGCCAGUAUCCAUCAUGAAUGCACUACGACGGUCCAACAACGAACUCAUCCCAUCAGGAAUAACUAUUAGUAGCUUCGUCGGUGACAAGUCUCAGACCAAAGAAGUGCUUCCUUUGGAGGUGAGCGUGGCAGGUCGCAAUCACAUGACCGUAUUCUUUUUUGUCGACUCUAAGAUCGAGUACAAUGCAUUGCUUGGUCGAGAUUGGAUCCAUCAAACAAACUGCAUACCCUCUUCACUAUAUCAGGUUCUCAUUUUUUGGGACAGUAAAUCUGUUGUGGUGCAUCUGACCAACAAUCAACCUUUUGAAGCCAAUAUGAUUCAAGCACGGUAUUAUGAUGAUCACGUUGGCUACAUUACCCUACAAGGUUUGAACGAGGAAGGACGACCGACUCGAAUUUCAGUAUAGAAAGCAAUCGAGAUAGGCGUGGAGACUGAUUGGCCGAUUGAUCACAUAUAUUAAUGUCUGACGACCGUGAGGACAGAUGACAGGCCGUGGUUUCUUCUACCAUGGAACAACUGCUGGCCCAUUGGUAUAUUAUCUCCAAACAACCAAAUUCGAGUGUCAACUUAGUCGAAAUUUUGGUCGAAUGAGACAAUGGCCCAGUAUUUUCACUCGAUAAAGUUCAGGUUGCACCAGUCGAGCUUGAGGAUUGUCAACCUCAAGUCAAGGAUCAUUUAGAGGAAAUCAAUGUUGGAAUGGCCGAAGACCCACGGCCUUUGUUCAUUAGUGCAUUAUUACCUCAACAUGUAAAAAUCAAGCUUUGUAACUAGCUUAGAGAAUUUCAGGAUUUUUUUGCUUGGAGUUAUACCAUGAGAUGCCUGGUUUAGAUCGCACACUAGUCGAACAUGAAUUGCACAUCAAACUUGGGUGUAAACCAUUCCGCCAACCACCUCGACGAUUCUCAACUGAAAUACAACUCGACAUAAAAGAUGAACUCGUUCGACAUUUAAAAGCUGGGUUUAUUCAAAUAGCUCGAUAUGUAGAAUGGCUGGCAAACAUCGUCCCCGUUUUAAAGAAAAGUGGUGCCCUGCACAUCUGUAUUGAUUUUCGAAAUUUAAACUUGGCAACUCCUAAAGAUGAGUAUCCUUUAUGGAUGGACAAGCUGGUUAUAACCAGAUUUUCAUCGCCAAGGCUGAUGUUCAUAAAACUGCUUUUCGUUGCCCGGGAGCACUCGGCAUAUACGGAUGGGUCGUCAUGCCAUUCAGCCUCAAGAAUGCUGACGCCACAUAUCAACGAGCCAUGAAUACUAUUUUCCAUGAUUUGAUUGGUACCAUUGUCGAAGUCUACAUCAACGAUGUUGUAAUCAAAUCAAAACAUCAACGGACACAUCUGGAUGACCUUCGUCAGGCUUUCCUGCGUAUGUGCCAACACAACCUUAAGAUGAAUCCUGCCAAAUGUGCUUUCGGCGUAUUAGCCGGUAAUUUUUUAGGAUUCCUUGUACAUCAUCGUGGUAUUGAGGUAGACGAAAGAAAGGCUUGAGCAACCAUCAACGCUCCACCCCUGAUGACUAAGAAACAACUAUAGUCAUUGUUUGGCAAGAUUAACUUUCUCCGUCGAUUCAUUGCCAAUUCGGCAGGGAAAAUGAAAGCAUUCUCCACGCUCUUGAAACUUAAUUAUUUUGACACCUUCGAAUGGCAUGCAGAACAUCAGGAGGCAUUUACGCAAAUCAAGGUCUCCCUCACAACUCCACGCGUCCUGGUUCCGCCACGAUGUGGCAGACCUUUUAAGUUGUACAUUUUGGCAGCUGAAGAAUCCAUCUGAUGCCUUCUUGCACAAGACAAUGAUGCUAGGCAAGAACAAGCCAUUUUUUAUCUUAGCCAAAAUCUCAACCCACCAGAAAUUAAUUAUUCUGCUGUCGAGAAGCUUUGCCUCACUUUAUUUUUCGCUGCAUCAAAAUUCAGACAUUACAUGCUCCCAUCAGUCACUCAGGUCAUCGCCCAGACCGAUGUCAUUCAUUACAUGCUCACUCGGUUGAUAGUAAAAAGCCGAAUCGACAAGUGGAAAAUGGCACUGUUCGAAUUUAGUUUGCAAUAUGUGCCUUAAAAAGCUUUCAAAGGCCAACCGUUGGCUGAUUUCUUGCCCCAACAUCCCUCGUGGUAUAAGUUUGGGGCAAUGACGUUGAAAUCGGCAUGGUGGAAUCACGUCAUAAUUACUGGAUGAUGUAAUUUGAUGGAUGUAGUACUUCAAUCUCGGUUGGCAUUGGGAUCAUUAUUCAAUCCCCAAAUCACAGCCGCUGGUAUUUUUCUCUCAAGCUCGAUUUUGAUUGGAUGAAUAAUUAGGCUGAAUACGAAGCCCUUGUCAUCGAUCUCGGUGUCUUACAUGAUUUGCGGGCCACUCAAGUCCUUAUUCUCGAUGAUUCUAAACUUGUGAUUAAUCAUCUUAAUGAGACCUUUUGUUGCAUGAGUUGUACUUUGGCACCCUAUCACAUGGUUGCUAGCUAUUUGGUCGAAUCUUUUGACGGUGUUACUUUCAAACACAUUUCAUGAGUUUUCAACACCGACACCGAUGAAUUAGCUCAAAUAGCCUCCGGAGUACAACUUAUGGGGGGCAAACUAGGUUGAGAAAUACCUGUGUCAUGACAAGCACACUCGGCCUUGGUUAAUCAGCAAGUUAUCCAACGUGAUUACGUGAUCCGUACACGAGUCAUGUCUUUACCGUCGUUGGUAGAACGGAAUGACCCUAUAGAGGUUUGUGUUGUCGAGGCAUUACCAGAUGAUUGGAGAAGGGUGAUUAUUGGAUAUCUCGAUAACCCAGGUGAAAAACACGACCGACGUACAAGGGUCCAUUCCACAAACUAUGUAUUAUACCAAAAUGAGUUAUAUCGAAAAGGUGAGGAUGGGCUAUUGUUGUUAUGCCUCGGCCCACAAGAAGCUGCUCAAGCAAUGGUAGAAGUACACGAAGGAAUUUGUGGGGCUCAUCAAGCUGGACGAAAGAUGUGUUGGCUACUUCGAUGACACGGUUAUUUCUGGCCAAGCAUUCUGAAAGAUUGUAUCGAGUACACAAAGGGAUAUGUGCAGUGUCAAAUUCAUGGGCCUAUACAGAGGGUUUCGGCCGAAUCACUUCAUUUGGUCACUAAACCAUGGCCGUUCAGAGGAUGGGCCAUGGAUGGAAUCGGUAAAAUUGCACCAUCUUCUAGGAUAAAAAAACAUGCGUAGAUACUUGUUACGACGAAUUACUUCACCAAAUGGGUCGAAGCCAAGUCAUAUGCCGAGUUAACAUCUAAAGAAGUUUGUAAUUUUGUAGAAGAAAACAUCGUCACUAGAUUCGGCGUACUAGAAACAAUCAUAAUAGAUAAUGGUACAAUCUUUACAUCUGGCAAGUUUUAGGAGUACAUGGAAAAUCUAAAAAUUCGGCUCGAGCAGUCUACGCCGUAUCACCCGCAGGCGAAUAGACAGGUCAAAGCAAGUAAUAAGGUUUUAAUCGGUAUUCUUGAGAAAAUGGUAAAAGAAAGGCCUAGUAUGUGGCAUUUAAAGUUAAAUGAAGCAUUGUGGGCUUAUCGAAUUUCACUCCGAUUGGCAACCGGAACGACUCCGUACGCGUUAACCUAUGACCACGAAGCUAUGUUACCAAUUAAACAAAGUAGCUUGUUUAGUGCCGAGUACAGUCAUGCUAUGCGGCAAGAGUUAAAAGAUUUGGAAAAAAAAUGGUUUGAUGCUUACAAUUUAUUGAUGGCACAGAAAAAGAUUACCGAGCUAACUUAUAAUCAGCGAGUCAGACAAAAAACAUUCGAAGAGGGUGAGUUAGUUUGGCAAACUGUGUUGCCCGUGGGAAUUAAAGACCGCAGGUUCGGCAAAUGGUUGUCGAAUUGGGAAGGACCGUUAAUUGUUCACAAAGUUCUCGGCAAGGGGGCAUACCACCUCAAGGAUUGAAUUGGUUUAAUUCACAAGUUACCAAUCAACGGGAAAUUUUUUAAGAAAUAUUAUCUAGUCACUUGGGAGAUGUGAGAAUAAAAGAUCAUUUCAUUGAUUUUGUAAAGAAACGUCCAAGUGAAGUUACAAAAGAUUCCUAGACCAAAAUCCUAAGGGGUCGAAGGACAGAAGGCUUCAAGAGCGGCCUUCAGUUCCAACCACCUUACAUCACCCAUGGUGACUUCGGCUUUUCUCACCCUUCGGGAUUGGACAAUGCAGUGCCUUUAUGCAUUCAAUAUCCCAUGACAGCUCAAGGAAAGACCGAGGAAUUCGAGUUGAAGUCCAGUUUGUUGCAUCAUAUUCCCAAGUACCAUGGGUUGUCCAUGGAGGAUCCAAACAAGCAUUUAAAGGAAUUUGAAGUGGUUUGUUCAAGCAUGACCCCAGUUAACGUCGAUGGAAGCAUAUUGAAGAUGAAAGCUUUUCCAUUCUCUCUAUUGGAAAAAGCUAAGGAUUGGUUAUACGAAUUAGCUUCUUGGGAGAGCAUGAAAAGAGCAUUCUUAGAGAAGUUCUUUCCAACAUCAAGAAUCAUUCUUUUAAGGAAGUGGAUUAGUGGCAUUUAACAAAAUCAAGGAGAAUCCUUUCCAGCGUACUAUGAACGUUUCAAGACUCUUGUUGCAUCAUGUCCCCAACAUCAAAUGAAAGAAGAAUUUCUCAUUCAAUAUUUCUACGAAUGACUUCUUCCCAUUGAAUGACAAAUGCUAGAUGCCUCAGUAGGUGGUGUGUUGGUUGACAAAACAUUGUUGCCAAGACUUUAAUUGCCAACCGCGCCUUGAAUGCACAACAAUAUGAAGGAGUUGGACAAAGGGAGCCCCCACGGCAACAACAUGUGAAUGAGGUAAGUGCAAUUUCUGAAAUUCAAUCUCAAUUGGCUAAUCUCACUCUUCUUGUGUCAUAGGUUGUUGACAAACCCAAAGUGCAAGAAAAUACAAUCUGUGGCGUGUGUUCCAUGCAAGGACACCAAUCUGAAAAGUGCCCUCAAUUGAUCGAGAAUGGAGGAUGGGAAAGGGCAAACGUUAUUGGAUUCCAACGCCAAAAUCAGCCCAAAUAUGAUCCAUACGUAAACACGUACAAUCCGGGCUGGAGAGAUCAUCCAAAUAUGAAGUGGAGGGAGCCUCAUCAACCUCAACAAGAAGGAUUUUGGCCACCACCCCUUGGGAUGUUUCCAAGGUCAUACGCAACAACACAACCCCAACCACAAUUUGCCCAACAAAAAUCAGGUUCGUCCAUGGAUAAUGAUCAAAUUGUUCAAUUAUUAACCACUAUGGUGUAAGGAAUGCAAAAUCAAGCCAAAAAGAUGGAUGAGUUGGAUAAGCAAAUAGGGCAAAUGGAGGAAUUCAUGGGUCAAUUCAGAGAGCAAGGUAGAUUGCCUAUUUCAACCGUUAUCAACCCGAAGGGAGGAUUUAAAACCGCCAAGGCAAUCACGUUGAGAAGUGGAAGAGAAGUUGGAAUUAACCCAAAACCAUCCAAAUCAAGCCAAAGGAGGAUGAGAAACUGCAAUUCGAGGAAGAAGAACAAGAUAAAGCCACGACAUAGAUUAAACAACCUUUGUCGCAGCCCCCUAAACCUUCCAAUUCGGCCAAUUUAGGUAAGGUUGGUUCAAAUUCGGUUAAUUCUAACCCUAUUCCACCCAAUGUAACUUUCCCUCGCAGAUUAAUGCAAACACAGAAGGAAGAGAGUGAUAAGGACAUUCUUGAGACAUUUAGGAAGGUAUAAGUCAAUAUCCCGCUCAUGGAUACAAUCAAACAAAUUCCGAAGUAUGCUAAGUUUUUUAAGAAGCUUUGUACAACAAGGAAACGGAUUCGAGAUAAAGAGGUGUUUCUCACUGUUUUUAAGUGAUUUUUCAUUGAUUUUUGUGGGUUUUAUCACCUAUCCCCUCUAGAGUUGUUUCUCACUGUUUUUAAGUGAUUUUAGUGUGUUUUGAAGUGUUUUAGUAUGUUUUGAAAGAAAAAUACGAAAAUUUGAAAAAAAAUUAGAAAAAGUUUUGAAAAACAAACCAAAAAGAGUCGUUUUUGUGUGUUUGUGUCUUAGGGUAGCUUUCAACACAAUGAUGAGGAUUUGGUUUUUAAUUACAUGACUGUUAACGAAAGUUACAAACAUGGGUGUAAGUUUGAUAUGCUCUUUGGUUAAUACUUGGUUGUAGUUGAUGUUUAUGAAUUCACAUGUAAUCACAAAGAAAAAAAAUCAGUUUUUGUAACAUGCUUGAAGAAAGGAACUCAAACUAACGCUACAACCCUGGGAGACUUGAGACUAAACGUUGUUUGGAGAGUUAUUAAUCUGAGAUUUCUUGUUUUCUAAAGUCUUUGCAUGAUUUCAUUGUUUUUUUUGCUUGGUUGCUACUUGGAAUGCGUUUUCAUCAUUAUAGUUCCAAAUACUAGAACUCAUGCCUGUUUCAUUCAAAGCUUAAAAUUGAGUGCAUAAUAUAUAACAAGAUGAAGUUGUUUAGUAGUUACCACCAGAGCCAAAAAGCCUUCAUUCCAUGCAUUUGUUUUUGCAGGUUUAACCCAUUUGAGCCUUAUUUAGCCUAUUUUCUUUGUUAGCCAUAUUAUCCCUACCUAGCCUAGAAUAGGACUAUCCAUACCCUUGUUCUUGAAAUAUAGUGGAGCAUGACUUAGAGGGAAUUCCUUUUGAGCAACAUUAUUGCAAAAAAAUAUGUGUGGGGGAAGGUUAUUUCCAAAGAAAGAAAAAAAGAAAAGAAAAAAAAUCGUGAAAAAGAAAAAGAAAAAGAAAGAAAAAGAGUUCUAAAUAAGUGAGAAUGAGCUCACAAGUUUUCGUGGUUGAAAAAAGGGUCCAAAAGUUUGAAUCUGGCCCUAAGUGUUUUGUGAAUCUUCCCUUUGUGCUUAAAGUGGAUUUUUGCAUUCAAAUGUGAAUUCUAAGUGUCAAUUUCAUUACUUUGCUUACUAUUGCUUUAAGAACCUUUGUUUAUCCUUUCCCUUUCCUUGUUAGCCAAUACCCUUAGCCCCAUUACAAUCCUUUGACUUCUAUCUUGAUGUUGUGUGUUCAAUAAUGUGGAGGUUGAGAUUGGUAUGAGUAUAUGGAAUCCCUGGUUCUUGCUUCUAAGUAGUAGCAUUCCGUUCAUGAGAUCAUAUAUACAUAUAUAUAUAUAUAUAUAUACACACACACAUGUAUUAAUAAUUCCAAAAAUUGCCUUCUUUGUUUAAAACAUAUGUGAGUACUAGUCUACAUGUUUACAUCAAUCUUCUCACAUAUACCUAGUAUAGGGAGUGCAGAAAAUCUGUGUGAAAAUAGAGAGUAUAUCCGGUGAGAAAUUGAGGGAAUUCUCUAAGGCAUGUUACUACAUUCAAAAUGUUGUUUUAAUUGAUUAAAUGCGAGCUAGUAAGUGGUGACUGCAAUUAAGUAUGCGCUCGAGGGUAAGGAUGGCUAAAAUCUAUGUGAGUGGUGAUCUUUGGCAUGUCAUGUUUCAUUGGAAAUCCCUGAGGCAGAUGUUGGAAGGUCUAGGUUAUGUUUGGUUUGUUUCGUUUUGCUCGAGGACUAGCAAAAGCUAAGUGUGGGGGAAUUUGAUAGGAGCAUAUUUAUGCGACUUAGUUAGCUUGUUUUCUUGCAUUUAUGUUGUUAGAUCAUAAUUAUUUUAGUAUUUUAAGCUAUUUUCGUGUGUUUGUAGGUCCAAAGAGCUAAAGUGGCAAGAAAGUGUAUUUUGGUGCCUUUUGGAGCAUUUUUGGGUCAAUAAUGGAUGGCACAUGCAUGGAGCAAGGUGGAUGGAUGAAAUUGAAGACUAAAGAGGCUAGGAAUGUGUUAAAGAGAAAGAAGAAUUAAUUUAAAGAAGAUAAGGAGCUCAGCAAGAAAAGAGGAAACAUUAGUCAAGUUACCUUAUUUUGUUUCAGCACUUUCCUAAUCCUAAUCCAACUAAGUUUCAGUUGAAAGGAGGGUUCCCAAAUAUAUUAGGACACUUAAUAUUAGGUUCUAGAAGACCUAAUCCCAGCCACAAAAGGAUGCCGCACCAAUGCCCUAUAGAAACCCUUUCACUUGCACAGCAAGGGAUUCCCUUUUCCCUUUUUCCUUGCCGCAUCCUACAUUCCCUAUUCUUCUUGGAUUCUGACAUUUAUUUACCCUUUUUCCUUGAGGAUUUGGUGUACAAAUCUGUCUCCAAAAUUAAUUAGGGCUAAGAUUCUCUUACCCUAUUAUUUAUACUUUGUGCCGCACAAAAGGGACCCCAUCCACUCUCUCCACCAUUCAACCACAUUCCAUACACAUUCUGCCGCAACCAUCCCAUCCUUCAUCACCCAUUCACCAAACACAAUAUACACCAUUCAAACCUUCACCCAAACCUUGUGCCGUAGCAAAGAAGGAGGAAGACCCUUAGACGUGCUUGCUAGUCAAGUUGGAUUACUGGAACAUUCUUAGGUGUAAUUGAUAGGAGCAUAUUUAUCCGACUUAGUUAGCUUGUUUUCUUGCAUUUAUGUUGUUAGUUCUUACUUAUUAUAGUGUUUUAAGCUAUUUUCGUGUGUUUGUAGGUCUAAUUAUCAAAGUUGGCAAGAAAGUGCAUUUUGAAGCAUUUUAGAGCACUUUUGGGCAUUAAAUGGAUAACAUACGUGGGGAGCACUUUGGAUGGACGUUUUUGAAGCUCAAAAGGCUAGGAAUCUAAUAAGGAGAUGAAGAAAUUAAAUUCAAGACAAAAAAGAUAAGGAAUCAGCUCAAAAGAAUGAACAUUAUCCAAAACCUUAUCCAACCUUAUCUUAUCCAAACUAACCUUAUCUUAUCUUAUCCUAUUCUAAUCUCAUCAUACCUUAAAUCAAGCUGCAAGGGGACCUAAAUAUCUAUUUCUAGAGCUAUUUCUAGAAGCAUUCCCUUCAAGAAGUCUUAAUUUCUGCCACAAAGCACAUUGUUUCUAGAAACCCUACAAAAAUGGCGCAUAUUCCCUUCUAGAAAGCUGUUGUCUUGCCUUGCACUCAACUCCUUUUCCCUCCGAUCUGUGCCACACCCUUCCUUACCCAAUUCCCUUUGGAUUCUGAUUUAAUUAGCCUUUUCCUUGUGGAUUUGGGUUAUGCAAAUCCUUUUCAGAAAUUAAUUGGGCCAAACCUUUUUCUUGGUGGAUUUAAACCUUUGUGCCACAAACCCUAGGGCCUAAUCCUUUAUUUCUGCAAAGUUGAAACCCUAAUCUACUUCCCCUAGGGUUUUGCCGAACUUAUAUAUACAUAUUUUCAGCCAAAAUUCGUCCACCACCCCCCAUAUAACUUAGAAACCCUCUCAGCCGCAAAACAGACCAUUCUACACCUUUGCCGCACCCUUGGGAGAAGAAAAGAAGCUUGUUGUGCCUUCCAUUGGAGCAAGGACCUUGUGCACAAGCCACCUGCAACCAUUGGAGUUCUAAGAGUUCUUUCUUCCCUCGUUUUAGUUUCAAUGUUUAUUUCAGUUUGCUUUUCAAUUGCUAUGAACAUGUGUAACUAAGUUUUUUUUAGUUAGAGGUGAAUUCAAAGCCAUGGACAUAUGUUUCGUAGAACAUAGGUGUGAUUUACUUAUCUAUUUGAUUGAUAACUUAUUCUUGCGUGUUGAUUAAAGAUGCAUACUUAGUUUGCAUGCAUUAAUCUAAUGCUAAAUUAUAAGGGAAUUUCACCUAAUCGUUAUGAACUUAUAAGUAAAAGUAGUGGAGAUUGCUAGUCACAAUCGUGUUAAGUAGAUUCUUGGCUGGAGUAUCAUGUAGUUCAUAGUUACAAUACCUUUGUCAAUGCUUAUGAUUUCCAUGGAACUUAAUGAUCUUUGAAUGUAUCAUGUUGUUCAUAUAAGGAACUUGAGAAGAAUAAUUUGGUUGCGAUGCGUUGUCCAUUCAAUUCAAUGAAUUUAGGGAAAUCUGAGAGUUAAUUUGUGCAUUCACGAUUAAUUUGGGGCAUUGUCAUUCAUGGUUUAAAGAAACAGUACUGGAAAUCGAUUUAUGUUGCAUAUGUUCAUGAGUGGGGAAGGACCCUCUAAUUUGCUUAUUUCACCAUUCAAUUCACCUGAUUUCAUACCUAGUUUGAUUUAGUUUUGCAAUCUGUUCAAUUUAAUUAAUUUCGUUCAAAUCAAUUCCCCAUUUUAUUAAGUGUGUUAGAUUAGUUAGGAAAGUGUUUAAAUCUGUCCAAUUUAGUGUUUUGAGUCUUCAUAGUCUUAAAUUCGUCUAAAUCACUCCCUAGAGUCUGUUUUGAGUCCUUUUAACUUAGUUUUGUUGUUUUGAGUCAAUUUGGUCAGUUUUGAGUCAUAAGAGUUUAGUUUGCUGUUUUUGAGUCUAGUUAAGUGUUUUAAAGUUUAAAUUGAGUAGAUUAGCAUCCCUUCUAAUCCCCAUCCUAAAACGAUCCCUACUUCCAUAUACUACAAUCAUAGGGUUUUAAUUUGAGUGUUGGAUUAUUUCACAUUAAAUUUUGGCGCCGCUGCCAGGGAUUAGCAAAAUUGCUAAUCUUCCCCUAGUAGUGCCUUAUGUUUGUUUGUUUUUGUUUUUUUUUUUUGUUUUGUUUUCUGAUUUCGUUUUGUUUUGGUUGCUUUGUUUUAGGUACUAGUUUAUGACUCGAAGUUCACAACAUAUGAGUGCAAAUAUCUUGGAGUUUGACGACGAUUUUGAAAGAACUUUGAGACGAAAUAGGAGGCAUCCAGAACCAAGUCCACCUAGUUCUGAAUCCGAAUUUGAAGAAGAGGAGGAGGAAGAACAAGCCAUGGCUGCCGAUAAUCGAACAAUCAAGCUCGGGAUUAGACAAUGCUGCACCCCUAUGCAUUCAAUAUCCUAGGGCAACUGAAGGCAAGACCAAUGAGUUUGAAUUGAAGUCAAGUUUGCUAUAUCAGUAAUCCAUCUUUUGUUUUCAAUGUUUAAGUUUAAUUAUCUUUGUUUUGCGAACAUGAGGAGCUAAACUCAUUUUAGCUAGAGGAAAAUUCAAAGCCAUGAACAUAUUUGCAAUAUGAAUUGAUUACUUCCAGUUAUGAUUUCAUGAAUCAUGAAUGCAAUUUACUUAACUGUUUGAUUCAGAACUUAUUCUUGUUUGUUGAUUAAGGGUGCACACUUAGUUUGCAUGCAGGGAUUUGAUGCUAGAAUAUAAGGGAGUUUCACCUAAUCGUUAUGAACUUAUAUUCAUAAGUAGUGGAGGUUGCUAGUCACAAUCGUGUUAAGUGAAUUCCUGGCAGGAGUAUCAUGUUAUUCAUAGUUAUGAAUGUCUUGUCAAUGCUUAUGAUUUUCACAAAGCUUAAUGAUCUUUGAUUGUAUCUCUAUUAUGAUGUUCAUGUAGGGAACUAUUAAAGAAUAAUUUGGUUGCCAAUGCGUUGUCUAUCCAAUUCAAUGACUUAAGGAAAAUCUGAAGGUUAAUUAGUGCUGUUCACGAUUAAUCUGGGGCGUUGAGGUUCAUAGUUUAUUGGAAAAGCAACUGGUAAUCGAUUUGUGUGCAAGUGUGUCAUGUGUGGAAAAGAACCAUCUAGCUAGCCAAUCACCCAUAUUUUCCCCCAAAUUCGUGCUAAACUUGUUUAAGUCUUUAAGUUACUUGUCUUUACUUUAAAUUCGUCAAAAACCCAAUCCCCUGUACUUUGUUGAGUCAAAUUAGUUGGAAUCUGUCCAAACUUGUGUUUUUAAGUGUUUUGAGUCGAGUUAAAAUCAAUUUUCGUCCAAAUCACCCUCUAAUGUCUAGUUUGAGUCUAUUUGAUUGUUUUGUGUUGUUUUGAGUCUUUUUAGUUUGUUUUGAGUUCUUUAAGUCUAGUUAAGUGUUUUCAAGCCUAGUUUUGUAUUUUUGAGUCAGUUUUAAGUAGAUUAGCAAUCCCUCCUAAUCCCAGUCUAGAACGAUCCCUACUUACAUCUUUACUACAAUUUUCAAUAAGAGGGGUUAAUUUGAAUGCUAGUUUAUAUCACAUCAGCUUCAGGCUCGACAAGGGGUCUUUUUCCACGGUCAGUUGCAGGAGGAUCAACCUGGUCAAUUGCCUCAACCAUGGGUGGAUGAUUUCUAGUAGGAAGUUUAAUUGGUCUAAGGGUGACUCGUCAACAGGGUUUCUUCACUGCCGUCGUCCUGAAAUAAAAGUUGUUAGUAUUCAAAAUCUAACCGAAAAGAAAAAGAUGUCAGCAACCUAAUCAUACCUCCUCUAGAACGACCACUAGUUUGGGUUUUGGAUCAGGAGGGAGAUUUUUCUCAGCCAAGGUGGCCACUUCCUCCAAGAUAAGAGCAACGACCGGCUUUGUUGUUGCAGGUUCCUUGACCACCAGGUUAUUAAUUGGUUUAACCACGACUUGUUGAACGGGUUGAACCUCAGGUGCUCGACCGAUGAGAGGGUUUGGUUGCGUGUCCGUCGAGGCUUGAGCAACAUGAGCACAAGGAAACUCAGCAGUUGAUCUUAUGGUUUGGCUGAAGAUGGCAUGAAUAUGCUUUUUGGGAUGGGGAGCAUCACCAACCGUUACGACCUCUGGGCAAAACCGUUUGCUCGGUAAGGUCAGUGAGGCAAUCGCGGUUUUCUUUAGCGAAGGAGCAGAUUUUUUCUUGACCAUAACCGCGGCUGCCAUGUCUGUAUGAAUACCUAGAAAAGUUAAAGUUAAAUCAGAAGGAAGUUUGAACAAACAACCAAAGGAGAAUGAUAAACGAAGACAAAUACCUUGAGCCGACUCCUUAGAUUUUGGGGUAAAGGCUUUCUUUGGGUGGUCGCCGAAAACUUUUUUGAUGGCAUUCUCGAUCGAUGUGUGAAAGAAGUCCUGAAUGUAUAUUUCCCACCAAUCAACGAAGGUGGCGGUGCUAAAGGUUUCAGGCACGUUAGGCCGGAUACGGAAUUUUUGGCACUUUUCUUGGAAUUCACAAACUGUCUCCCUGCAUUCUUUCUCCGAAGAACCAAAGAAGUGUCCCCGACUUAAGAGGGAGUGGGAAGUAAGUAAAGGCACCGGAAAACCUUGGAGGUAGCCGAGUUACCGAGCAAUGAAAUGAGGAUGGUAUACUUCCCAACUCACUCGACGAGUAUCGCAGCCGAAGGGAAAGUCUUGUGUAACAUGAACGACCCCCAAUUUUGACGAAGAUUAGCAUCUUCAGCUUCACUCCAUGCUGAUGAUGGAAGCUUGAUGGAAGGGGGGUAUUCUUGACGACGACAUAUCAUAAACUCGUUGUCAGAGAGGUCUUCUAGGCCGAAGAAGUAUUUGAAGACUUCUUCAGCCUAGUGAGGAAGCCCCGGUCGAGACGCUAACUGAGGGCUGAGCACUUCAGUGGGUUGAAAGCUGGGGAUCUCUGGUUAAAGAGUUGCAAAAUAAACCUGCAGCUAAAGUUAGAAAACCUAGAGGGGACCAUUAUGGUGCGGAUCAAUUUUGUUGAUAGUUGUCUCGGCCAAGCAGCGUAGGAGGUUGGCAAGAAUGGCCGAACUGAGGGCCAAUGUGUGACCAUUUGCCAGGGUUUCAGCAAUCGGCAUAUUCUUGACCAAACACUUAUUCGAUUUGGUACAACAAAUUUGUUGUACUAGUAGAAUAGGAGGCUUCAUGCUCACCCUUUCGAAUGUUUUCUUCUCCUUGGCCAGUGAAAUGGAGGAUGAGAGUGUUUUAGUUGAACAAAUUCUUGUGUAAUUUUUGAAUUUUUUCUCUUGAGGGUUCUUGACCCUCUUUACUCAGCACUUCGACAGCCUGCUCGUCGAAUAGAGCUUUGAGGUCAAGAAUAGACUUCUGCCUAAGAAGGGCGGCAUCAACAGAGAGGCCAGAAGGAGAGGUCCCAAGGAUAGCUGAGACAUCGAGGAUGAUGGGGCCGAUAGGACCGAAGGGAAGGAUCAUGAUGUUGGUGGCUGAGCACCAAAAGCACAAAGCUACCAUAAGAAGUUCUUUGUCCAUGACGAUUUCCACGGUCAAGAGUUUAAUGAUAUCAUAGAUGCCAAAAGUCUUCCAUUCUUUAUUGAAAAUUUUUUCCAUUCUUUCGAACCAAGUUACUCAAGUUAUGGUGGUUGAGGGCCAGUCUCCUUGGGGCUUGGUUAGGUCCCAUUUUGACCAAUCGAACCCUUGCAACAAGGGUGUCAGGCAAUGAUCCUUGAAGAUAAUGGUGAUGGACGAUGGUACAACAUUCCUGAAAAGUGGCCCCAAGAUCUGGUAAGAGGCGGUCAAAUCACCUUCGAAGCGCAGAGUUUUGAUGGCGCUUCGAUCGAUGAAGCCUUGGCAUUUGUUGCAUUCGUCAGAAAGCUUGGAAAUGAAGAAAGCCAUUGAUGACGAAUCGAAUAAUUUCUAGGUUGAGAGUUGUCUGGGUUUUCUAGGAACUCAAAAGCCAGAAGCAAAAGAGGUUCGGGAGUUAAUGAACUGUAGAGUUUGAACGAAGAAGAGACGAGUAUUUAUAGGGUUUUGGGCUGAAAACCCAACGGUUUAAAGUUUCGAAUAAAGGAUAAGACUAGUCGGAUAGUUUAACAAUCAUUAUGGAGAUUCGGGAAACCCAUAUGAAGAGGCCAAGAAAUCCGCAGAUCGAGGCUACACGAUGACAUGUGACGACGGAUUCAAUGAUGAAGAGACGCUUGAUUUUGUGCACGAUUCAAACAGACCGAGAAAUUCGCAGAUCGAGGUUGCACGAUAGCCUGUUGUGGCAAGUUUAAUGAUGAAGAGACGUUUGGGUAUCUGCACGUAGAUUACAAUUUCGCAAAUCAAGGUUGUAAUGAUGGUGUGUGGAAGGAUAGGUGUUUUAGUGUCAAGUAAGGACAAGUAUGCUAGGAAGUUGCCACAUGGCAGGGUGUUUGACAAAAUUAAGAUCGUGCAAUCAUGCUUCAUAAUUGCGCCGGAUAGAUGGGAUAUUCGAAUUGUUUUAGAAAAUAUACCCUGGUUUGGUUUCACUUCUUCAAGGUUGAAAUUCGGCUAAAGGAAUUUUGAGCCAAAGACCUCAAAAAUGAGGGGCAAUGUUUAUGUCCAAAACAUUAUUUUGGGCUGAAGGUAACAAAUGGGCCGAGACUCUUGAUCCAGUGGUCGUAAGGGGGAUCAUGGGCCGACUGGGUACUGGGAGUUAUCAAGACGUUUGUUGAUCGAGUCUCUUUGUGAGAAGGAUUGAUUUAGAUGAAUCCUUGAACCCCUAAGAGUGUUAAAGCUAACGGUAAUAAGGAACACAUAAAGAAUCUGGAUCAUUGUGGAGAUGUGUUCAAAGUCCUAAUUAAAGUAUGAUUGGCCGAGUCUUAGUUAGAUCAGGAUGAGGAGUCCUAGUUCGGGUAAGGUUCUAACUCGGCCGGAAGUAGGUUCGCUACUAUAAAUACAGAGGAUGAACACACAUUCAGGCCUUUCCAACUCAACACACAAAUUGCCCUGCGUAAACCCUUGCUCUACACGAAACUUCUCAACAACCUUGAGAUUUUUAGUUUCUUUUUCGCCAACACAUCUUCAGUUUGGAUAAACAGCACUGUGAAGGCAAUUGGUGAACAUCUUCAGUUUGGAUAAACAGCACUGCCGUCGUAGAAUCAGCCGACCGCGAAGCACCUUCAAUUUGGAUAAAUAACACUGCUUCAAGACCGACUGGUUAUCUAUCUAAGUCUUGGUCGAGAAUGGUUUUCGAAUCCUUUUUGGCAGAGGUCAUCUCACGAGCCUCUCAGCAAAGUGAGGCGUUACGAAUCACUAGACUCGACGCAUUAAACGGAAAGUGGUUUUAUGAUUGGAUACUCACAAGUUGGGUUUAGAGUUCGGCAUUUUGACGGCCGAACCACAUUUACGAUUAAGACGUACAUUUGUUUUGAAUAUUUGUGUCCAUAUAGUCUAGUCUCAAUUCGGUGUGCUUAUACUCUUACGAAUAUAAUCAUUGUGACCGACAGUGGCGAAGCCAGGAUUUGCCGAGAGGAGGGGCGAAAUUCAAAAGAGUGCAAGGUUCAAUCGAAACGGUUGCCUUCACAUUGGAGAGGGCAAAGUUUUGAAUCAAUAUUCAUAACAGAAAACAGUCUAUCCACCAAAUCGGUUGUAAACGGUAAGAUCAAAGCCAUGUAAGAAGCUUAAAUUGGUAAGAAUUAGAUUCUAAAAAACAUUAGGCGCUAGUCAGGCAGCGGACUGGGGCCUACCAAUUAGGCGCCUAGGCGAGAUUUAGGUAGGAGCCUAGAUGGAUUUAAAUGUCUUUUAUUGUAAAAUAAGCAUUACACGAUAUUUACAUUAUUUUUUAAAAAUUAAUACAGCAUUUAUAGAUAAUGUGAGAGUUUAAGAUAAAUAUGCUGGGGUUUUAAAAAGAGGGAAAAAAAUACAUACAAGAAUAAUAAAUAAAAAAAAGAAAAGAGAACAGAGAAAUGGGUUAACAAACCACAAAAAAAUGUGUUGUCAUAAUUUAAAUUUAGAUCAUUGAUUAAGUUGAUUCUUUUUAAACGUUUGAUUUGGAUUUAAUUUGUCAACAUAAGUCUAGCGAUAUACGACUUGUUGGUGAUUGAACUAUGUAAAAAGUAGUUAUGCUCAUUUAUAAGUGUGUUUACGCUAAAAGCCUAAAAGUGCAUUCAUUAGUUUAUUCAAUAUCUAAAUGCUUCUUCGUGAACAACUUCCUGAAGAAUAAUCUGACAAAAAGCACUUCGAGAACUUAAGGCUGGUUUGGUAUUGCUGUGCUUUGAAAAGAAACUGCUGUGAGAAUAAGCGGCUGUGAAAUAAAUCAGCAGAGUGUUUGGUAAACUUUUUUGUAAAAGUGCUUUUGGAAAAAAAAGCAGUCUGAUAGUGGGUCUUUUCAUUCAAGGUGCACUGUAGCUCCGUGUGCUUUGAAAAAAAACCAGUUUUCCAAAGCUGCAAAUAGCAGCUUCAGCUUUUUCCUUUGAUUUCAGCUUAUUCUCACAGCAGCUUCCAAAAUAAGCCUUUUUUUCAGUUUACCAAACACCUAAAACCCUCACAGCUUUUUGUCAUGGGUGCUUUUUUUUAAGCACCUCACUUCCAAAUCAUCCCUUAGAAAGAUAUAAAUUUUUAUGGGAGAUGUAACUAAAAGUGCUCUUUAGCCAUUCCAAUGGCAUUGCCCAACAGGUCCAUUAUACAUACAUGCAUAAAAAAAGGAAAACUUUGGGGGAGGAAGCCGAGAGGUAAUGGGGACAAGUGGUCCUUCCAUCAUAUUUUAAUAUUUGUUUUUCAAAUUAAGCCCAAAUGCCCAAACACACCGUUUCACUUAUUUUAAUAUUAAAUGUUUUUUUUUCAAGUUUUCCCUUCCCUGCGCAGCCAUGAAGAACUGCUGCAGUUGUAGCAAUUGUGAGCUGCAAUCCGGCGAAACCAGAGGUGCUAUGGGGCAGCAAACCAUGAUUUAUGGGCAUGUUUUCCUGUGAGAGGAGGGGCGGACCCCUCCCGGGCCUUAACAGCUUCGCCGCUGCACGCGCAGCGUUUGUGCAGCUGCAGCAAAAAACAUGGAUUCAUUUCCGGCGAGAGGAGGGGCGGGUACUCGCUCCUGGGCUUCAUUUCCGGCGAGGGGAGUGGCGGCCGCCACUCCUCGCCCUCACGUGGCUUCGCCACUGGUGACCGAAUCUGACACCGACGAUUUGUGAACUUCGUACAACUAGCAGCCUUGUUUUCAGGCUCUAGAACCCGAAAGCCAAGACGUGUUCCUUCCUCGGUUGCAAUCGCAAGAUCGAGAAGUCAGCAGCGCAUCCGACGCAACAUUAACAUAUUUUACUCCUCGGCCGAGCUCGGCCGACGAGUUGGCACGCCCGCAUACAACCGAAGGAUAUAGUUAGUUCAUUAGUUACUUGGCAUGCGCGCCAUGUAGGCUUGGUAGUUUUUAGGGUCAACAGAUUCCCUCUAUAAUUCUAUUGGACAAUAAUUUGAAAAGAAGCUUUGUAGUGAAAGAAAAUAGGGACGAAAGAAAGGACCACGAAACUAAAAGUUCUGAAAUCUGUACCAAGAAAAUUAUGUACACUUUGAAACUUAAAUUCUUUUGAUUUUGGCCAGAGCUUCUAACAAGAUGAUGAUAAAAACAUGAAAUAGGUACUGAAAGGGUUUGUUUUCAUAUCAGAAUAGAGAAUAUAAACAUGGUAAAUCAAAUUGGAAAGAAUUACUCAAGACACCCAAAAGUUAGAAAGAUCUUACCCUUAAGCCUUCCUCUGCAAACUUAAACCUGUUUCUUUCUUCUUCAGGGUUCUCACUCAAAUUCUCUCUAUUAAGUGAACGAAUACUUACUAUGAAAUUUCCUAUUCGAAGUGCAACUAUUUAUAGAGAAAAUGAUCAUGAUAGGAACCUAAGCCUAGACCUUCCACCACCUGCUUCAUAGCUUAGAUUACUCAGCUAUAUAGACUGCUUAAAGAGCAAUCUCAAACCACCAUGGAUAGCCACCUGCAUCCAUAUACUCUCCACCAAACCCAUAGCUCCUCCACCUCCUAGUUACAUAGCCUACAUUAGUCAGCAAAAUAAAGUAUUGGAAAAAAGAUUAUUAGGAAAGGAUAAGAACAAAUUACAAGAAGGGAAGAAAGAAUCUCUCAUUGCAGAAUCGAAGAUUAGAGAGACAGUCUUUGUCUUUUGUUUGCUGAGUUAUAACAAUAUGCCCUAUGUAAAAGGUUGGGCAAAGUGUAAAACAAAAUGGGCUGAAACUAUUUCCUUUUUGAAAUUAAAAAUAAUAACUUUAAAUUCUAGGUCUUAACAACCAAACUGAAGGUGGUGCUGGUUGUUGACAUGAUAUUUCACAAAACUGAAUAUUUGGCAAGGGAAGGAGUUAAUGUUUUCUUAGGGUGAGAGGGUUUUGCGUAAAGAGUUGAUUUGUGUGUUGAGUUGAAGGUUCUUUUUUCGUUGUGAAGCCUCUUCCAUUUUAUAGGCCAUGUGGUUUGCUGAGGCAUAAUUUUGAUAGGACUUAGCCUCCUCGGCAUUUCCCCUGAGUACCAACCUUUUCUUCCUUAGUUGAAACUUAACACACAUCUAGUCUCAGAUUUUCCAUUCAAGCAAGGACUCUGAACCUAGUCUUUUCUUAACUUAAUUUCUUCUUAUUUGAUAACCAUGAAUUUUGAUCACAGCCCCAAACUUAUCAGAAUCGAUUCCCAAUCCUUAACAGUUUAAUUCCAUGUAGGACUCACCCAAACCCUGCUCAAAUUUAAUCCCUCAACUGUCCUUCAAUCAUAAGGACUUGGCUAGGCUAUCGUUGUCUUGGACUAGAACACCUUGAACUAACCAAACCGAUGCUGGGAUAAAUACCAGGCCUUCCAUUGCGCUUUACUUGCUCUUGACCCAAACUUGUAUUUUAGGCCGAAACACUAGUAGGUGAAUUUUCUUUUGAAAACAAACCUACCCCUAAGAAUACUAAUAACACACCUAAGCAUCCAAAAAUUAGGCAUACAAUGGAUUUGCAUUGUUGAUUUUGCAGAAAAGAAAAAUUGUUCAUAUUUUAAGAUCACAAUUUAUAAUCUAUGAUGCAUGGACACGGGAGAAGACCAACGUAUCCUGUAUUUGAUACGCGGGAAUACGGAUACGAGGGCGAUACGUGCGGAUACGCAAUCGAUAAGUUCUGAGUCAACAGAUACGUUGUUGACUAAUGGGAUACGCGUAUCUUACUGUUGAGAUACGAGUAUCCUACCUUUCGGAUAAGUUUUAAAUUUUAAUCAGAGGAUAAUCACAAAAAAAAAAAUUCAAGAUAAUUACUCUUAAUCCGCACAGAAUUGUGAUAGUUGACAGUUGAUUGAGAUUAGCUGAACCGAAACGAUUCUGUGACAAAAAAUCGAAACGAUUUUGUGUAUAAAAUUCAGAUCUACCUGUUUUUCCUCACUCGAACAUCAGAACUGUCUUCGGCAACUGCUUCUGUCGUCUCCGUUUGCUACUGCUGCAUCAUAUCUUAUGCAUCUACUGGCGAGAGCUGGUAACUGGGUUUCAGAUUCCAUGCUUUCUUGAAGCUUUCUUUUUCUUUUUGUUAGAUUUACUGAUUACAGUCCCUUUUGCUUUUCUGAAACCAAACGAAAAGCUUCUUUUGUUUUUCUGUUUUUGCAUAUUAUAAUAAUAUUAUUGUUAGUGGUUUAGAAUGAUUUAGAUUAUAAUAUAUUUAUAUAUGUUUUAUGUUGCUUUGUUGAUCUCUUAACAUAAAUUUGACUUGUAACCUUUUAUACGACUACUUUGGAUUGAUUCUUAAGAUUUACAUGUUGAUAAUUUAGGAAAAAAGCUAGUUCGAGAAUGAGGGACUCUUUCGUUUUUAUAUUUUUGGUCAUUUGGAUGUUCUUUUUAGUUUUUCAAGUUUGAAGACUAAUUUAGUUGUUUAGUGGAUUAUCUUUUUAAAUGUUUGAAGUUUAUUGAAAUAAAUUUGAACUUGAAUAGUAUAAUUGAAUGCUUAUUUUAUAAUAUUUACAUAUAUUUAUUUAUUUAUAUUAUUUUUAAUUGCCGUAUCCUUGUCAUAUCGUGUCUUCAUUUUUAGAAAUUUAACGUAUCCCAGUAUCAUGUCAUAUUCCCGUAUCCGUGUCCGUGUCCAUGCAUCACAGUUUAUAAUCCACGAAACAUAAAUAAACCUAGUAAAAUAUAGGAAAAAAGUAAAAAUUCUUGCACCAAUGGAAAGUAAACCAUACCAACCUGCCAUAAAGGCAAUGGUCAGAUUACCUAGUACACUUUUCUAAUUCAAGAAAUAUGCAAUCUUUUUCUCCUUGGCCACAGCAUUCUCAGAACUUGGCUUAAACAAAUGGAAAACAUGCUCCUCCCCCUUUGCUUCCACCACCUCCACAACCCCACUCCACCCACUCUUUCUCAGUAUCUCACCAUAAUACCACCCCCCAUCUCUCAACCCACCUUUCUCUGCAACAAAAACCAGCAAUUAUUCUCUUAUACGUGCAGGCGUGGACAGCUCAUCCGCCCUAACUGGCUCUGUCCCCCAGAAAUAUGGAUGGAUCAAAACAACCCCAAUCAGCUUAGCACCACCAACCAAGCCCUCAGAGCCUACUCUCAAUCCCAUCUGGUAUGCUAUAUUAGCCCCAGCACUGUCGCCGGCCGAGAAAACACGAUGAAAAUCCGCAAGGAGGUUUAACCAAUCUUCUGAACCGUUUCCAUAGACAUGGGAAUCUGUAGAAAUAUAUAUUCAGAGAAAGAGCACAGCAAACAUGAAGCAGUAAUAUUGGUGGAAGUCUUACUUUGCCAUUACUCAUAAUCAGGUAUAAAUAUACAAGUUUACAGAGAGUCCUAAAGGGAUUGUGCAGCUCCCAAUACAAAUCCUAACGGGAUUACAAAUCUAUAAGAUAAAGUGAUAAUAUACAGAAGAUAAUAAUGGGGAUUAUGACAAGGGUAUAGACUUGGAGGACUCUUUACUAACAGAAGCAACCCAUUUGACAGCAGCCCACCAAUCAUCGUAGGCAGCCGGCAGAGGGUACUCGGGGUGAAGCCGGUAAUUAACAGAGACUGCGACAACAUUGGCUGCGGAGGCCAAGGAGUUGAGGUAGUUGUGAUACAUGGGGGAGGAGGAACUUUCAAUGCAGAAGCCUCCACCGUGGAAGUAAACGAGAAGAGGGAGUUUGUUGGUGGCGGUGGCUUUGGUUGGAAGGUAGAGCCUGGCGGAUACGGGUGGUUCUUGUGAGAUAACGACGAUGUGUUGAUGGAAUUGUUGGUGUAUAACCCUUUAGCUGAAGCUUGGCAGCAAGAAUCAUGUCUCUAUGUUUUGUUUCUGUUUGAAUGUGAGCCAUUGGAUCAUAGUCCACAUGGCACUUUAAUCUUGUAUCUAGCCUAAGUAAUAGAAUAAGCAUCAUCUCAUAGGAUGAUAGCAAUGAAUGGCUAAGAUUGUAUUGUAUGUUGAAGAGUGAAGGAUCUUCCUUCCUUCUUCAUAUAACGGUUAGAUUGUAUUGUGUGAAAUGUGAAUGAAAAUUUGAAGAGACAUCUUUGCAGCUUCCUCUCUCCAAAAACUCUCUCCAUCUUUGAAGACAACCUCCAUUGAAACACAUAUUGAAAACACACACAAACAUUAACAUGGCCUCAGAGCCUGGUUUCAUCGUCUAAUCUGGGCGUGAAAUCUGUGCGAUUGAGCUACAUCUUUGAGCUUCAAUCGAAUCUGGAAAUUGUGAUUUCGUGUAUCCAAGUCUCAUAUGGCUGGGUCCGGCAAUGUCGAGCUUAGAGCUCACGUCUUCAAUGGAGAGAACUAUGAAUUUUGGAGGAUUCGUAUGACAACUAUACUGAAAUCGUAUGGUUUGUGGGAGCUGGUAGAAAAUGGGUUUGAACCACCAGAUCCGAAGUCUGAGAAAGCUGUGGUCGAUGAGACGAAGAAGGAGACGACGGAUGGAGUGUCGUUCAGUGAGAUCCUGAUGAAGGAUGCUCGUGCGCUUGGAAUGAUACAAGGUGCAGUAUCGGAUCAGAUCUUUCCCAGAAUCGUGAAUGAAGAGACAUCCAAAGGAGCUUGGGAUGUUCUAAAGGGUGAAUUCCGAGGAGAUAAACAAGUAAGAAAUGUAAAAUUGCAAGGUUUACGUAGAGAUUUUGAAUAUACUCGUAUGAAGGAUAGUGAAUCAUUAUCUGUGUAUCUCUCUAGAUUGUUUGAUAUCAUGAAUCAAAUGAAAAGUUAUGGAAAAUAACUAUCUAGGGAGAGAAUUGUGCAGAAAUUACUUAUUAGUCUUCCGAAAACAUAUGAUACAAUUUGUUCUGUAAUUGAGCAUUCUAGAGAUCUUGAAAUUAUUGAGGUUCAAGAGGUGGUAGCCUCUCUAAAAGGAUUCGAACAGAGGCUUGAUUUACACACUGAGUCUUCGACUGAGAGGGCAUUUGCAAGUUUAAAUGUAGCAUCUAAGGGUGUCAAAAGUGGUGGAUUUUCUGGGAAUCAAAAUUCUCAAGAGAGUUGGAAAUCAAGGGGAAAAAAUUGGGAUUAUAAACCAAACCAUGUUAAAAAGCAGAGUAAUACUCAAAGGAAUUGGGAUCACAAACCCAAUUAUCCUCAGAGACAGAACAAUACUCAAAGGAAUUGGGAUCAUAGGCCUAAUUAUGUCCAGAAGCAAAACAAUGUUCAGGGUGAUUGUAAGUGGUGUGACAGGUUGCACUAUGGGAAGUGUUGGUAUGAAGGUAAACCAAAGUGCACAGGCUGUGGUAAGCCAGGUCAUUCUAUGAGAGACUGUCAUGAGAAUAAAGGAGUGCAGAAAGUUAAUUAUGUGAAGCAAAUGGGAGAAAUAGGAUCACUGUUUUAUGCCUGCAAUGCAGUGACCGAUGUGCAAGUCAAUAACUCAUGGUACAUUGAUAGUGGUUGUAGUAACCACAUGACAGGAGAUGAGAGAUUAUUGGUCAAUGUUCAGAGAGAUUUGACCUCCAAAGUAAAGAUGGGAACUGGAGAAAUUUGUCAAGUGGCAGGAAAGGGAACCUUGGUGAUUGAAACUAAAUUGGGAAGAAAACAUAUACAAGAAGUAAUACUUGUUCCUGGACUUGAGGAAAACCUUCUAAGUGUUGGACAAAUGAUGGAAAACGGUUAUUAUUUGUUGUUUGGAGGUGAUGUAGUGAAUAUUUUUUAUGGAUGGUCACUGGAUAAUUUAGUAGUGAGGGUACAUAUGACCAACAAUCGAUGUUUUCCUUUGACAAUGUUGUCUGCAACACAGUAUGCACUAAGAGCAGGUAUCACACAUUGUUCUCAGAUAUGGCAUAAGAGGUUGGGUCAUUUGUGAGAGAAGUCUCAAGGUACUUGAAGAACAGGGGUUGGUGCAUGGAUUACCUAAACUAGAAAUGUCCCAAAGUGUGUGUGAAGGUUGCAUGUUGGGUAAACAACACAGAGACUCAUUCCCUUCUCAAUCGACUUGGAGAGCUAAAGAUCCACUGGAGUUGAUUCAUACAGAUAUCUGUGGUCCAAUGCAAGUAGAGUCUCAUUCUGGAAACAAAUAUUUUUUGUUGUUUACAGAUGACUGCACAAGGAUGUCAUGGGUGUAUUUUUUGAGAAACAAGUCUGAAGCGUUUGAAUGUUUCAAAAAGUUCAAGGCAAUGUGUCACGCCCCAAACCCGGGGUCGGUAGUAAAAUAAGACCCCGCGCCCGAAACGCGAGUAAAAGUAAAAAUAAAUAAAAGGAAAUCGACACGGGUUGAAAAAUGAAAUCCUCUUAUUAAAAUAACUCCAUAAUCCUUACAGGGUGUACAAAAGUAAUAAAUUAAAAUCCUUAAACUUCUCCUCAAUCACAACCUCAGCUCUUCUAACACAUGUCUUGCCAAAUAACAUCUGACUUGCCAAAUAGCUCAUCUGUAACAUAAUAGGUGAGGAGUGAGCAACAACCACCGUCGCUCAGUGAGUAGAAUAUAUAAUAUGCCAGUCAAGCUUGCCAUUUUAAUCAUACUAUAAAAUAGGAUAAUAAUAUCAAAUAAUUAUACACAUAAUGCCAUAUCACAUCAUCCCUUUACGUGUCCAUUAUAUCCUUCAUAAAUUGUAACUCACCACGUGACCCCUAAUGGCCAUUUGCCCUAAUGUCCCCGUGUGCAACUUACAUUUAUCCCUCGGAUUAAUGCAACACCAAAGUUUUCAUGCUCCAUGAACAUUUCCAAAUAAUCCACAUAUCACGAUAUAUAAUAACUCCAAAACAUUUCAACAAAUCCAACAUGCUUGACUUGAAAUAGAUAGAGAUUUAUAAAUAGAUAAAACCCACAAUAGUUCGUGGUUUUCAUUUAUCGAAAAUAAGAACUUUUAAACACAUUACAUAAACCACUCACCUUGAUAAUCCAAGCUUUGGCAAGACAACCCAACUAACAUCUCCACACACCUCAAACUCUCUAACCCUAGCUCGCUAUCUCUCUCUAUACAUAUAUACAUACAUACAUAUAUACAUACAUACAUACAUACAUAUAUACAUAUAUACAUACAUACAUAUAUACAUACAUAUAUACAUAUAUACAUACAUACAUACAUAUAUACAUAUAUAUAUAUAUAUAUAUAAUAUAGACACAUAUAGAAAACUAUUGCAUGCACUGCAUGCUGCCAUUCUUUCGCAGGAUGUAAAACAAUGGAGCAGGGCCUCCUAUUUAUACUAGAAAUGAGGAGGUCAAGCUAACUUCUUAUUGGUUGGCUUAGCGGCUAGAGAUAUAACAAUUCAAUUUACCUUCUCUUACAAGCUGCUGCGUGGUAAUCUAAACAGGCAGUAGACUUAGACAAAUGGCUGACCAAUAACAGGUGGAAAUAAAAGAUAAGACACGUCCACUAAGUAGCUUCACAUAGUCACUGUGUAGAGUGCUCACUAAGCAAAUACACAAGGAGAUAGCUAUAAACUGUGGUGUGCCACGUUCGAAUAUAGCUUCCAACAGUAAGCAAUCUAGCUAUACUAAUGAAAAGAACACCUUUUGUCCUCAUUCUAACAUUAAGGUUCCCCCUCCUGCUUGCAUGAUUUGUAAAUGACAGCUCCUACUAAUAAAAACAUGAAUUACAAGACACUUGUCCUAUAAAUGCAAACUAAUGACACCUCCACCUUAAUCCUUCCAACUCAAAACCUAGUCAUGGUAAUGGCGAGGUGUGAAUAUGCAUAGCUACAUGAAUCACACGUGAUGCGUUAUGUAAAAACUUAUCUAAGCUUCAUUCUAACUAUAUAAAAAUAAUAAUAAUAAUAACCACAAAUACAACUAAAAAUACGGGACCUUACACAAUGACUGAGUUACAAUGUGGAUAUAAGGUUAAAUGUCUCAGGAGUGAUCGAGGAGGAGAAUUCCUUUCUGCAGAGUUUGACAAAUACUGUAAUGGAUAAGGAAUUCAGAGACAAUUGACUAUGGCCUACACUCGUCAACAAAAUGGAGUGUCCGAAAGAAAGAAUAGGACUGUGGUGGAGAUGGCAAAGUCAAUGCUACAUGAAAAAAACCUUCCAUAUGCAUUUUGGGCAGAAGCAGUGAAUACUGCAGUCUAUUUGAUCAAUAGGUGUCCUACCAAAGCUUUGAAGAAGUCAACCCCAUUUGAAGCUUACAGUGGUAGAAAACCUGGAAUAGCUCAUUUGAAGAUAUUUGGCUCAUUGUGCUAUGUGCAUAUACCUUCCAAUCUCAGACAUAAACUGGAAGAAAACAGUCACAAGUGUAUCUUUGUAGGCUAUGGUUCAAGUGAGAAGGGCUACAGAUUGUUUGAUCCCAUUUCAAGAAAGAUUGUUCUCUCAAGGGAUGUCACAUUUGAUGAGGAUUAUUUUUGGGAUUGGAACUGCAAUAUAGAUACUGGAGUGACAUUUCCAGUUAUCACUGAACAUAAGAAUGCUAAUGAAAUCUGUGAGGUUGAUGAAAAUUCUCAGUUUGAAGAAUACAAUGUUUCUCAAAGUGAGAAUGUGCCUGAGAGAUCUCCAACUUAUGAUGAUACACCGAAGAAAUGGAGAAGUAUCAAUGAAAUCAUGGAUCAAUGAAAUCAUGGCUCAAUGUAACAUGUGUGUUAUUGAACCAGAAAGUUAUGAGGAUGCAGCUAAAGAUGAUUCAUGGAGGAGUGCAAUGAAAACUGAAUUGGACAUGAUUGAGAAGAACAACACAUGGCAGCUUGUUGAGAGACCAUAUGACAAGCCUGUUAUUGGUGUUAAAUGGGUCUAUAAGACCAAACUUAAUCUGGAUGGCACUGUGCAGAAGAAUAAAGCUCGGCUGGUGGCUAAAGGCUAUUCACAAAAGCCCGGAAUCGACUAUAAUGAAACUUUUGCCCCUGUGGCAAGGUUGGAUACGAUUAGAACUUUAAUUGCCCUUGCUGCACAGAAGAAAUGGAACUUGUAUCAAUUAGAUGUAAAGUUUGCAUUUCUCAAUGGGGUACUGAAAGAAGAAGUGUAUGUUGAGCAACCUCAAGGCUUUGUGAAGGAAAGUGAAGAAACAAAGGUGUACAAGUUGAACAAGGCUCUAUAUGGCUUGAAACAAGCACCAAGAGCCUGGUAUGACGAGAUUAAUGCAUACUUCAAUAGUGCAGGGUUUGAGAAGAGUUCAAGUGAGGCAACUUUGUAUGUUAAGACAAGUAAGGACUCAUGUAUCAUUAUUGUCUCUCUAUAUGUAGAUGACAUUGUAUAUACUGGUAGCAGUCCACAAAUGCUUGAAGAAUUUAGAAAUGACAUGAUGAAACACUAUGAGAUGACUAACUUGGGCUUAUUACAUCAUUUCCUUGGAAUGGGUGUGCUGCAAACUGAGAACAGCAUUUUUAUACACCAAAAGAAAUAUGCACAGAAACUAAUUGAGAAGUUUGGUCUGAAAGAAUGCAAAUCAGUUGCUACUCCACUUGCAAUGAAUGAGAGGUUGAGCAAAGUUGAUGGAAGUGAACCUGCGGAUGAAGGAGAAUAUAGGCAGCUUGUUGGAAGUCUGCUCUAUUUAACUGCAACUAGACCUGAUGUGAUGUUUGCAGCAAGUAUAUUGGCAAGGUUCAUGCAUAAUCCCACUAAGAAACAUAUGGGAACAGCUAAGAGGGUACUGAGAUACAUCCAGGGAACAAUCGAUUUUGGUAUUGUCUUUGAAAGGGGAAAAGCUACUACCUUAAUCGGCUAUUGUGAUAAUGAUUGGGCUGGAAGUGAGGAUGAUAUGAGAAGUACUUCAGGGUAUGCAUUCACACUAGGAUCUGGUAUGUUCUCAUGGGCUUCAAUCAAACAAAACACUGUAGCACUGUCUACUGCAGAAGCAGAAUAUGUUAGUGCAGCAGAGGCUACAUCACAAGCAAAGUGGCUGAGAUUUGUUCUAGAAGACUUUGGAGAAGAACAAGUGGAAGGAACUCAGAUCUUGUGUGAUAAUACAUCAGCCAUUGCUAUGGCAAAGAAUCCAGUCUUUCAUCAAAAGACAAGACACAUCAACAGGAAGUUCCACUUCAUCCAAGAAGCAAUUCAAGCCAAAGAGAUUGAGUUAGUGUACUGCAGGACAGAGGAGCAGAUUGCAGAUAUACUUACUAAGGCUUUACCUAAAGAUCGAUUUGUGUAUCUAAGGGAGCUACUUGGAGUUAAAUCAGCCAAAGGGUUAGAAGGGAGUGUUGGUGUAUAACCCUUUAGCUGAAGCUUGGCAGCAAGAAUCAUGUCUCUAUGUUUUGUUUCUGUUUGAAUGUGAGUCAUUGGAUCAUAGUCCACAUGGCACUUUAAUCUUGUAUCUAGCCUAAGUAAUAGAAUAAGCCAAGUGGCAUCAUCUCAUAGGAUGAUAGCAAUGAAUGGCUAAAAUUGUAUUGUAUGUUGAAGAAUGAAGGAUCUCCCUUCCUUCUUCAUAUAACGGUUAGAUUGUAUUGUGUGAAAUGUGAAUGAAAAUUUGAAGAAACAUCUUUGCAGCUUCCUCUCUCCGAAAACUCUCUCCAUCUUUGAAGACAACCUCCAUUGAAACACAUAUUGAAAACACACACAAACAUUAACAGGAAUAAUUGUGGAUGUGCCUAAGGAUCUCUCGACUCGACCAUCUUUGUAUAAUUUGAUCAUCGGAGAAAAAUCGUGGGCUAAUUCUUCGCCGCUCAUGUUUUUUAUUCAAGGAACAGGUGCAGGGUGAAAGAGGACGGAGAGUAUGUAAGAGUUAAACAAAGGCUUUAUAGUACAAGACUCCAACACACACAGAGUCAUGUCUCAACUAGGAACUACACCCAAAUAUCAAGAGAUCUAACUAACUGAUAAUAAAAACUCUCUCCUCUAGUGAGAGCCUUUCUCACCGGCAGUGUGAGUGUCUCCGUUUUUUAUUUUCUGUGUCGCCGCCAGCUCUUGCCAUGGCAAGGCCAAUGACAAUCCCUUGAUUUUCCUUUGUCUUGUUCUUUUUCUUUCUCCAACGGUUGUUUGUAAUAACCUCAGCCCCGUUUCCUUCCACAUCUUCCCACAAUCUCAUCCUCCUGGUACUUUGUUUGCCUCUAUUUUCAUCAUCCUGAGCAUCUGUUUUCAUCAUCCUGAGCCUCAAAUCUACUUCACCUAUUUCAUCCAUAUCAUUCAGUCAUUUCCCCUAUACCUUCAUCAUCACUUGGCUCCAUUUUCUUUGCACCAAUCCUAAUUUCGAUUCUGCUAGUUUCAUCGCGAUUUAUCGCUGUUCCAUGGGAGGGUGUGUAGAGCUUUGGCUCGAGUGUUCGCACCACCACCUUUGUUGGCCCUUGUAGGUUCUUCCCAUUGUUUUCGCUUGUUGGCGCUGUCGUUCGUGGGAUCUCUCCCGCGGGCUUCCUUGUUCUAUGGCGGCGAUCGUUUUGGUGGUUUGUGGAGGAUGGAGCGACUUUCUUCUUCCUCAACUCUAGGGCUCGAGAUGGUGUGAUGGUAGGUCCUUGUGGCAAAGAUGGCUUCGAUUUGUUGGGAAGUUUCAGCAGCAGGAGGAGCUGCUACAUUAAUUGUCCUGAUUUAGGGUUUCUUCUGUUGUGUGGUGUGUUUGUGUUGGGUCCCAAGGCUCGCUUUGGGCUUUGUAAUGUGUGUUUUAAGGGUUCAUUUUUUUCUUUUGUUCUUAGUGUGUAUUUGGAUCAUUCUUGUGUUUUGUUUCUUUGUGGGUAAUAUACCUCCCUUUCUUAAAAAAUAAAAAAUAAAAAAACACUAACUGAUAAUUACAUGAGAAAAUAUCGUAUCAUAACUAACAAUUUUUCUAAUAUGCACUAGAGUUUUAGAUCGUGGAUUCUAGAUAGUUUUGUGGACACAAAACGAGCAACUUUUUGCCUAAUCAAAUCUUGAUGAAAAUUUAUGAAUUUAUACUUGUUUGGAAGCUUGAAGAACCAUCUUUCCAACGAUGUAAAGUUUGUUAAAAACCAAGUUCCGAAGUGAGAGAAAUCAUGAGUUAAAACAGUAAGUAUGUGCAGAAAAAAGGCACCAGAGUUUUUCACGGGUUUAAAGAAGCCUUUUUGAACAUGGUUUUGACCCGUCAAAUCUCAAUCAAAAUCUAUGGGUAAAUACUCGAUUUAAAGCUUAUGAUUCCCUCUUUAAUUCUACUGGAAAAUAAUUUGAAAAGAAGCUCUGUAGUGAAAGAAAACAGGGACGAAAAAAGGGACUACGAAACUGAAAGUUCUGAAAUCUGCACCUACAAAAUUAUGAACACUUUGAAACUUAUAUCUUUUGGUUUUCCAGAGCUUAUAACUGGAUGAUAAAAAUAUGAAAUAGGUACUGAAAGGGUUUGUUUUCAGAUCAAAAUAGAGAAUAUAAACAUGGUAAAUCAAAUUGAAAAGAAUUACUCAAGACACCCAAAAGUUAGAAUGAUCUCACCCUUAAGCCUUCCUCUAUAAACUUAAACCUCUUUCUUUCUUCUUCAGGGUUCUCACUCAAAUUCUCUCUAUAAAUUGAACGAAUACUUGCCAUGAAGAUUCUUUUCUUGCUGUGAAGCUUCUGCUAUUUUAUAGGCAAUGUCUUAAGGAUGAGUAGGUUUGCCGAGGCAGAGUGCUGAUAGGACUUAGGUGCAGUUUGGGAUUGAGGUGCUUAUAAAAAAAGCUAGGAUGAAAACAAGUUGGUAGGGGUUUUGGUGUUUGGUAAACUUUCAAAAACAGCUUUCUUUCAAAGUUGGGGGUGAAAAGAAGCCCAAAACCUGAAGGAGUCCUGAAGCUGCAAAUAGCAGCUUCCAAAAACAGCUUAUUUUAGAAAACACGGGUGAACAGUGGACGUUUAAUGAAUUUUUCAAUAACCCAAAAUUGCCCUCCUUUCCCUCUCGCCUUCAGCUCUCGCAUACCCGAACCCAGACCACUCACUCGUUCUCUUGUUCUCUCGUUCCAAAAACCAGCGAUCUCUCUCGUUCUCUCGUUCUCCAGGUUUCUCCAGGUUCCCUUUGUAAGCUGCUCUUGUAAAAAUUUGUUAUUUAUUUGUUUGGAUUUUUCAAUUUGGGGAUGGGUGUCAGGAAAAACAACUGGGGAUGGAGGGUAUGUGCGCACGCCUCACUCAAAAAAAGCGAAAUUAGAAAAAGAAAAAAAAAUAAAAAAUAAAGAGAGAGAGAGAGAUAACUAUUAAGAAAUAAGAAUCUCACGCAAAUGCUGAGAGGAGAGGGAGAUGGAGCAAAAGGGGAGGUUUGGCGAAAAGGGUAGCAGAGAAAGUGAAUGGAAUGGUUGCAAAUCUGUGAUUUUUUUUAAUUGUUGGUUGUUUUUUGUUGGUGAGAUCUUAGGGUUUUGAUUUGGUAGAGUGGGAGCGGGUGAUUUUUGUGAUUUGGGGAAGUGGGUAAUGGUGGGUUUGUUGUUAGGGUGAGAUUUGUGAGCUGGGAUUUGGUAAUCUGAGUGAGUUGGGGUGGGUUUGGGGGGUUUCUGGGAUGGUGUGUUUGGGGGUGAGAUACCAUUUGGAUCUGAGACUUGUAAAAAGAAAGUGAGAGAAAUGGAGGGAAAGGUUGGGAAUUCAGUUUGUCUCUGGUUGAUCUUGGUAGCUCAUCCACUAUGGAUGACAAUGGUGCUUGUUAAUUGUUGAAUUGGCUGCUGAUUAUAUGUUUGUAUUGACAUUGAAUUUACAUGUUGCUACUUCAGUUGACUGGUUUGAUCAAUUCCCCGCUGAUACUUUUUUGUUGUUGUUGUAUUGCCUCACCUGCCUUUGCAAUUAAAAAGGUAAAACCAUACUUUUACUUGUAUAUAUGCAUAUUGAUUUUCUCCUGAAAGUUGGAAAAUUAAUCAUGUUUUCUUUAUGAUGGUAUAUAUUUGUACGUAGUCGCAUAUAGUGUACCUGGGAUCACUUAUAUAUAUUUGUACGUAGUCGUAUUUUUAGUUGGGAUCACAUACAAAUACAACUGGCAAAAGUGUAAUCCUCACUAUAAAAAAUGGAGAGUUUCUGAAUUGUCCUGCAAACUUGGUUUGGUAGUUGUCUAACAGAUCACCAUUAUAGUGAGGAUUACACUUUUGCCAAAUGUGUCUAUUAUGGUCUGUGUGUGUUGUUGGUUUACUGCGAACAAAUGUGUCUAUCUUAAAUGGUGAUGGCCAAGCUUAGAUUGCAUCUUUUUCCUCAACCUGAGCACCCAGUAAGUAUAUGUCACUGUUGUAGCUACUACAGUAUAUCUUAAAUGGUGAUUUGAAUGUCUAUCUGUAUUUUGAUUGUUCGUGCGUAAAAUCCUUUUCGGUUUUCGAACCGAGGUGAGUCUGUUUUGGACCAAAUUUAACAUGAUUACAAAGCUUUAGUAUGUAUUGUUAGCGAAAUGUAUGUUCUCUAAUGUAUGGGACUCGAGCGUGCCGACUCAAGCUGAUGUUUGUUUCAUUGUCAAAAUUAUGCACGUCUUCGUAACUGAAGGAUUUUUAUUUCAAAGGUAGUGGCACUAGUUUUGUUAUCAUCGUUUGCGAAUUUGUUAAUUUCUUAACCGCCUUUGUGUUCAUGGAAUGACAGGAGGGAAAACCACUUGUUCUGAAUGUGGUGAGAAAAGCUGAAUAGCUGCUCGUUAAUGACAUGUAAGCUAUAUCGUUGUCAGUAAAUUGAUUUUGCUAUUAAUUUAAGAAGCUAACAUUAUUGACGUUAAAUGGCAGCAGGCCUUAUAACGUGUCUAUUCUUCAUUAUGCUUUAAUACUCUUUUCAUUUCGUUAACAUGCCUCUUAGAAGACCUCAGUUCUGCCCCCGCUGGAGCAAUUGUACUUCUCCAUGUAUGUGCUCAUAACCCCACCGGUGUUGAUCCAACUCUUGAGCAGUGGGAGCAGAUCAGACAGCUCGUGAGAUCAAGAGAAAUUACCUUUCUUCGACGGUACUUAUCAGGUAGACCACGUGUAGAGUUCCAAUUUCUCUACACUCUAGUUUCUUCUUUUUGUUUAACAUCAUGUUAUUCCAACUUCUCAUGAUGAACUGUUUUCUUGUAUUUUUAGGGUUUUGCUAGUAGAAGUUUGGAUGGAGAUACACAGUCUGUUCGUAGGUUUGCUGCUGAUGGUGGAGAGUGCCUUAUUGCUCAAAGUUAUGCAAAACACAUGGGUCUGUAUGGCGAACGUGUUGGAGCCCUAAGCAUUGUAAGACUCAUUCCAUAAAUUUCAGUUGCGAGUUACCUUAUUUGGUUGCAUCCCACUAAAAUUUAAUACGAAAAAACUCCAUACUUGCCAUACAUCUUAAAUUGUUCUUGAUUAUAUUGGUUGUUGAAAAUUCUACUUGAACAUAGGUCUGCAAGAAUGCUGAUGUUGCAAGCAAGGUUGAGAGCCAACUGAAGCUUGUGAUCAGGCCCAUGUACUUGAACCCACCCAUUCAUGGUGCAUCUAUUGUAGCGACCAUCCUCAAGGAUAGGUACUCUUUGAAUCUUGUUCAUAUAUGUGCAAAAUGACAAUAAUUGACUUGAUGUAUCAUCAGCUAGUUAUUGAACUCCGACCCAGAAAUAGUUUUUCCUUCCCUAUUUGAUUUCUAAUCAUCUUAUCACUUAAUUCUUCUGUGGUCAGGGAUUUGUUCAAUGAGUGGACAAUUGAGUUGAAGGAAAUGGCUGAUCGUAUCAUCAGCAUGUGUCUUCAACUUUUUGAAUCCUUGUAUGCCAAGGAUUAGCAUGGCGGGUCUGAGCUCAAAGACCGUCCCUCAUCUUACGGAGGCAAUACAUGCAGCUGUUACUCGCGCUGCCUAGUCAUAUGUUUAGAAGGCAACAUUUUCUUCUUGUGAGCCGUCUCCAAUGUUGGACUCUUCCCUUUCUACAGUUUUGUUGUAAUAAUUGUUUUACCUUAUUAGAUGAGGUUAAAGAUUUCUCCGACUAAAGAUAAAAUGAAGAAAAUCUAGAGGAUUUUUUAGUUUUGUUUUCGACCUUCCCCAUGUUACAAUUAUAUGAUGCACUCAUGUCAAACUUUUCGUUCAUUAGAAAUAUUCAUGCCAAAUUAAAAGUUUUUGGAUCUUCAAAUAUCUCUUUCGUAUGCCAUUGUUUCAUAAUUUUUGGAACUUUUUGGGUUUCAAUAGUCCGGGAAGACGUAGAGCGAUUUUGAAAAAUGAAUGGUGAAGAUUGGUUCUAAUAUUGUUUCUAAGAAAUUAAACGGUGAAAAUUGUUUGUAAAGCUGGACUGUUUUUUAAAAUUGUUUGAAUAGCAACAAGUUUGAUAAAUGCAUCUAAUUAGACUACUUUCAAGGACAUUAACAAUAUUGUACUGAUGAAUCCUAGCUAUUCAGUCUAAAAUAUUUCAAUUGAAGUAGUUUGUCAUACUAAUUAAUAUUUAAGAUAAAGUUUAUAAAUAUUUUUCUUCUAAAAAUAAAGUAUAUUUAGUAAUUCACUUUUAUUUGUUAAGAAAACUAAAUUAUUAGUAUUAUACCCUUUUUGUCAUUUCACACAGUCACAGCUGUUUUACAUAAAAGUUUACCAAACACUAUCAUACAGCUUUUUUUUCUAAAAGCACUUUUACAAAAAAGUUUACCAAACACUAUGCUGUUUUAUUUCAUAGCCGCUUAUUCUCACAGCACAGCCGCUUAUUCUCACAGCAGCUUUUUUUCAAAGCACAGUAAUACCAAACCAGCCCUUAGCCUCCUCGACAUUUUCCCUGAAAACCAACCUAUUUUUCCUUAGCUGAAACUUAACCCUCAUCUAGUCUCGGCUUUUCCAUUCAAACCAAGACUCUGAACCUAGUCUUUUCUAAACUUAAUUCUGAGUAAUGCUAUUCAUACCAUAUUUUGUACCACAUUUUCAUACCAUCUUAGAUGACAUUUGAUGUAGACAACCACGCCAUUUGAAUUAAUCAGAUUUAAAUUUAGUUCAUUAUUUAAUAAACUAAUAAUUAAGAAAAACUAGUUAAUUAAAUGAUGAUUGUGGUAUACGAGGAAUCUUUCCCUUUCCUUUCCUUGAGUUUUGCGAAUUUUUCAAAUGAUAUGGCUGUCCUCAAAUGAUGUGGUUGUCCACAUCAAAUGCCACCUAAGGUGAUAUAGAAAUACGGUAUAAAAACAUGGUAUGAAUAGCAUUACUCCUUAAUUCCUUCUUAUCUGGUUAAGCAUAAAUUUUGACCAUAGCCCCAAACUUAUCAGAAUCAAUUGCCAAUCCUUAGUAGUUUUAUUCCAUGUAGAACUCAGCCAAACCUUGCUCAAAUGUAAUGUCUCCACGGUCCUUUAGGUACCGUUUGGUACGUGGGACGGGACGGGACGGAACGGGAUGAGCCGUUCCGUCCCACGUUUGGUGCGCCUAAAAACUGUGGAACGGGUUGUCCCAUGGGACGAAAUUUGGCUGAUUUUUCAUUCCACCUCUUCCCCCUGGAACGACCCGUUCCACAUCCGUGGAACACAAAUUUAUAACAUUUUAUGACAAAAUUUCUUCUUAUCUUUUUCAAUAUUUACAUCAUCUAUUCCGUCUCGUCCCGUCCCAUCCUGUUUCGUCCAGUCCCAUCCCAUUCCGUCCCGUCUGCGUACCAAACAGUACCUUAGUGAUAAGGAAUCAGCUAGGCCAUCGUUGUCUUGGACUAGAACCCCUUGAACUUGCUGAACCAAUGCUGGGCUAAAUACCGUGCCUUCCACAGUACUAUACUUGCUCUUGGCCCGAACUUUUAUUUUAGGCCCAAACAGUAGUAGAUGAAUGUGUUUUUUUGAAAACAGACCUACCCUCCCUAAGAAUAUAAUAACACGCCUAAGCUUCCAAAAAUUAGGCAUAUGAUGAAUUUGCAUUGUCGAUUUUGUUGAAAAGAAAACUUGUUCAUAGUUUAACAUCACAAUUUAUAAUCCACGAAACAUAAAUAAACCUAGUAAAAGAUAGGAAUAAAGUAAAAAUUCUUACACCAAUGGAAAGUAAACCACACCAACCUGCCAUAGAGGCAAUGGUCAGAUUACCUAGUACACUAUUCUAAUUCAAGAAAGACGCAAUCUUUUUCUCCAUGGCCACAGCAUUCUCAGAACUUGGCUUAAACAAAUGGAAAACAUGCUCCUCCCCCUUUGCUUCCGCCACCUCCACAACCCCACUCCACCCACUCUUUCUCAGUAUCUCACCAUAAUACCACCCCCUAUCUCUCAACCCAUCUUUCUCUCACACCCCAUUUCCCCAAACUUCGGAUCUUUACCAGGGUUGAAAAGUCAGAUCCACUACUCAACGGGUAAGCAAAUUGCCACAAGGCAGCAAAGUACUCUCAUUUAAGUGCAGGCGUGGACAGCUCCUCCGCCCCAACUGGCUCUGUCCCCCAGAAAUAUGGAUAGAUCAAAACAACCCCAAUCAGCUUAGCACCACCAACCAUGCCCUCAGAACCUACUCUCAAUCCCAUCUGGUGAGCUAUAUUAGCCCCAGCACUGUCGCCGGCGAAGAAAACACGAUGAAAAUCCGCAUGGAGGUUUAACCAAUCUUCUGAGCCGUUUCCAUCGAAAUGGGAAGCAACCCAUUUGACAGCAGCCCACGAAUCAUCGUAAGCAGCCGGCAGAGGGUGCUCGGGGGCAAGCCGGUAAUUAACAGAGACUGCAACAACAUUGGCACCGGAGACUAAGGAGUUGAGGUAGUUGUGAUACGUGGGGGAGGAGGAGCCUUCAAUGCAGAAGCCGCCACCGUGGAAGUAAACAAGAAGAGAGAGUUUGGUUGUAGCGGUGGCUUUGGUUGGAAGGUAGAGCCUGGCGGAUACUGGUGGUUCUUGUGAGAUCACGACGUCUUUGGAUUGGACACCGGUUUGGGGAUGUGUUGAUGGAGGAACUGUGGAUGUGCCUAAAGAUCUCUCGACUCGACCAUCUUUGUAUACUUUGAUAAUCGGAGAAAAAUCGUGGGCUAAUUCUUCGUCGCUCAUGUUUUGGAUUCAAGGAAGAGGUGCGGGGUGAGAGAACGGAGAGUAUGUAGGAGUUAAACUAAGGCUUUACAGUUAAAAAAGACUCCCCAACAAAAACAAACCAGAGUCCUAUCUCAACUAGGAACAGAUACUUACAUGAGAAUAUAUAUCAUAUAAUAACUAACAGUUUUUCUAAUAUGAGUUUUAGAUCGUUGGAUUCCUUAAGACUUUUUGACCAAGCUGUAAAGAGAAAGAUAUUGCUUAUUCAGUGUAUAGUAUUGUAGAUAGCCAUUUAAACUUUUAAUGUUACAGUUUAAUAAUAUUUUUUUCUUGUGAUAUAUAUACAUCAGAUUAAGGUUGAAUUUAUAUGGAUAUGAGUUUUCACUUAUGCAUUAAAGCAGGGUUGAAUAACUACUUAGUAAUACGUUUUAGUGAUAUUGUUUUUCACUUGUAAGUGAGGUUUUAGGUUGGAUUCUUGCCAUUAUUGCUAACCCAUUAUAAGGCUAAGCCUACCAUAAUAUCGAUUGUUUGAAAGAAAAAAAACAACAGGGUUGAACGGUGUUUUAAGGGGAAUCUAAAUUUUUUAAGGCUUAAAAAAAUCCCUUUUUACAUUAUAAUCUUAAUAGUUAUUAAAACCUAAUUUAGAUCCUUUUUAAUACUCAGUGCCAGUGCUACAUCACACUAUGGCUUAGUUCUAUUCCAUUAAUAAAUCAUUCAAAAUUCAAAAAAAUUAAACUUUGUUUAAGCCGUAAGAUGAAUCCCAAUAAGGUAAAUUACAUUUACUAAUAUGUCGUGACCUAUAUUUAGGGAUUAUUGUGUGUAUUCCUCCCUACGUAGUGGUUUUAUUUAUAGUAAAUAAGAGGAGAGGAUUAACUUGUCCUGCAAGUAAAUACAAUCCUAUAGGUAAAAAAUGACUAGACUAAUAGACAAUCUAGAAAUCAAAUUUAUCUACGAUUUACACAAUCAGAAUUAAAGAGCAGUGGUGUUAUUCCUACCCAAAUGUCUUAUCUCCCCACCCACUUUUUAAUGAAAUUUUUAAUUAUAAGUUUGCUCAUUUGUAAAAUGACUGAUAAAAACCUUAAAAGAUAGCUCUCUGUUCACAAACUAUUUAUCUAUCCUUAAACCCUUACCCAAAAAAAUUCCAGUGCUACUCAACUUGAAAUCGUUCUGAUUCCACACUAUUGCCUAGGCUGGCGCCUAGUGCCUAGGCGGCUAGGUGGGGUCUAGGCUGGCGCCUAGUGCCUAGGUCGCUAGGUGGGGUCUAGGCGGGCGCCUAGGCGGCCUAGACGGAUUUAGGUAAAUUUCUUGUAUAUCUUGUAAAUAAGUGCAUAUUGACACUUACAAAAAAUUAAACUUGUAUGAAAUUCAUUGAUAAGAUAAUAAAAGAAUAAUAAAAUGCAAAAAGAGUAUCCAACAAGUCCAAAAUUUAAAAACACAUUAAGCAUAUAUGCCAUAGAACCAUAGUGAGGAGUAUUGUAGGAUAACGUAUGUACAAUAAGUUCAUAAUUUAAAAAGAAAAGUAUAUAUGUAUGAAAAUAUGUAAGAAUUUAGGCUCUUUUUGUUAGUUUUGCAUCAUUUUGUAAGUCUAUAAAUAAAAUGCAAGUUGGGUCAUGUAUUCCUUGUACAUUUAAGUAGAAAUGUCGUCCAUUUAUAGAUGGGCUUAAUGGACCCUAACAAAAUACCCAAAGUCAUCCAAUACAUUUAUUAUCCUAUUAGAAUAAAAAAACCAAAGACACUAGUUUUUAGGCAUCCCGAUUCCAAUCAUUGAGUCACUUUCAAAAGAAAAAAACCCUAAGAUGCUUAUAAAAAACCAUUGCCGCCGUCUGCUUAUCACCAUAUCUGCAAUUGCAGAUUCUUUCUUUCUCUCUCUCUCUCUCUCUCUCUCUCUCUCUCUCUCUCUCUCUCUCUCAGACCAUCGUCACACUGAGAGGAGACAUCGAGACGCACAUCGCCCAGAUUUCCCAGUGUUCGCCUACUUCUGGGUAGGCUAUCAUAUUUUCCCAGGCCACCCAGAUCUUCCAGCUUCCGUAUAUCCUGCCUAGCGACCGUUUAGCCCACCUAAGCGUCCGACUUAUGCCACCUAAUAACUUUGCCAAUUUAGUAAACGAUUUCGAGAUAAUCGUGGCGGAGCACCGCCAUCUAGCACCUAGGCGCCGCCUAGGCCGUGUUUUAGAACACUGCUAUUUUCUACAUUUUCUGAAAAUUACUUCUCAUGAAAAUCUUGAAGAUGAAGACGAACCCAAAAACCAAGCAACCAGCGUUUGCUUCUUCUCUUUUUUCUUCAGCUACUCUCCAGUUCAAAUUUAAUGUUUUUUUUUUUUUUGGUUGGAUGUUUCAACAAUGGAUAUCAGCAUAAAUUGAUAUGUAAUUUGAACUUGUUGCUUAUGUAUAGAUGCUAAUAUUUACACAAAUGUGGAAGAAGAACUGAGGAAGGGUAUUCUAUAAAGGGGGUUUGACCAAUAGAAAAAAAAAAUGGUACAAAGUCUGUCACUGAGCUCUCUUAAAUUAUUUCUUACCGGUGCAAUAAUUAUAGAGACAAGCUCGGAGCGAAGCGAGAGUGCUAAUGAGGAUAUUUUAUGAAUAAAAGUGGGUGAGGAAAGAGCAUUUUAAUUUUUUUAACUUUUUAUUGUGGGUGAGAUUAUAAUGUAGGUGGAGAAAUACGACAAUGGGUGGGUCUAGUAGUUCUCUUAAAGAAUAUCCAUAACACUCUUUCGUGAGUGUGUAAAUACUUAAGUAGAUUUGUCAUCAGGUGAAGUUGAGAAAAUUGACUCGUCGGCAUUGAUCUGGUAAAACCCAAUAUAUAGCAGAAACUGAUAGUCAAAGGAAAAAGUGAAUUUAUGCAAAGCCAAUUUAAACGACUACGGGACGUACACAAGGGUAUGACCAACCCAGGAUGGGUGCCUUAUUAAAACUUCAUCAGGUAGCAAAAACUCAAAGGGAAAAAUACUCCUAGCCGCUCAAAAAUUUUACGUAUACUAAUUCCUUGAACAAGCUUCUGGAAAGUAGUCUUUGACAAAGAUUUGGUAGAGAGGUCGGCCAAGUUGUAUUAGGAACAGAUUUGUUUGACUUCAAUCUUCUGAUGUUCUUGUUUCUGAUGAGGGAAAAAUGACUUUGGUGCAGUGUGUUUGGUGUUGUCUCCUUUGAUGUAUCAUUUCUUUAGUUGUUUGAUACAUGCUAUGCUAUCUUCAUAGAUCGUUGUAGAGACAUCAACGACGAAUUAAAAUUUGCAGGUGCUUCAAAUAUGUUCCAUUAUUGCUCUCAACCAAAAUUACUCCUAAUUGGCUUGAUGUAAGGCGAUAAUUUCAGCAUGGUUCGAAGAAGUUGCAACUAAGGUAUGUUUGGUUGCCUUUCAACAUCUAGCGAUGCCUCCAACGAUAAAAAUGUAAGCAAUUUAAGAAUGUGUCUUGUGCCUGUCAAAUAAGUAACAUGUGUCAGCAUAACCAAUAAGGUUUGAAUCAAGCCGAGAAUUGAGGUGGGUUGCGACGUGCUUGUCUUUAACACCUAUCCAGUGUUUGGGUUGUGGGCGCAUAGUUGUAUCUUGCCAAAAUAUUGACAACAAAGGAGAUGUCCAUUUUAGUGACUAAGCUAAGUACAAUAAAGCAGCAAUCGCACUUAGGUAUGGAAAUUCAGGCUCCAAAACCUCAUCCUUAUCCUCUUUAGAAGGGAAGUGAUCUUGUUUUGCAUCUAGCUAUUGGAUGACCGUAUGAGUACUGGAAGGCUUGGUUUACCCUUAUUAAACAAUGCAAUACCUUUUGGGAAUAGUUCGGUUAAUAAACAAGAAUUCCAUCGAAACAGAUGCUCAAUCUCCAGGCUGAGAUAGUAUCGAGUUUUCUCAAGAUCUUUCAUCUCAAAUUCGUCUUCAGGUGCACAACAGUUUUCUCAAACUCUUCAAGAGUGCCAAUGAGAUUCAUUUCAUCGACAUAAAUAGUAACAAUUGCAAAUAUGGAAUGUGACUUCUUAAUAAACACGCAUGGGCAUAGUAAGUCCUUCUAGAACUUUCAUAAGCUACAUAACCAGUUUUUCUGAAACUACCAAAUUGAUAAGGUAGCAAAACGUAAUGAAGUUCAUUACGGGAGAGUAAGUUUCCUCAUAAUCAAUCCUAGGCGUUGAGGGAAGUCUUGCGCUACAAGGCAUGCCUUAUAUCCCACUAUUUCAUUAUUCUCAUUAUGCUUCCUUACGAAAUCCCACUUGUAGCCAACAAACUUCACAUGUGGCAGUGUAGGAGCCAUAGGCCCCAACACCUUUUGUUUUGCAAGCGAAUCAAGUUUGACCUGGAUUGCUUAAUUCUAGUUUGACCAAUUUGUUCAACGUCAACAUUCUUCAACCGAACAUGGUUCAAUGUCGUCAGUCAACUUAAUCACAAUAGCUACCGCAUAUGCUACAUCGUUGAUUAUCAUCUUAUUCCUAUUCCAGACAUCAUCCAAGCUAUCAUAGUGGACCGAAAUCUCUCAAUUCUUAGGAGACCAACUCAUCUCUUCCAGAGAGCUUUCGUAAUCUAGAAUAUCCUUAUGCGUUGGAUAUUAAGAGUAGGCGAUGGUAUGGUCGGGUUUAAGCUAGUUUCACUAGCUUGUGUCGUGGUUCUCCUCUUCUGGGAUUAUGAAUCAUUUGAACCAAUGAGUUUACCACGCUUCUGGGUAGGAGUAGAUGAUUGGCUAGCCACCAAUGUUCUAUGAUCAGCCACAUUAUUAACGUCUAAUCCUUCUUGGAUCAAGUUUCGACAUACGUUACGUAGAUCUAUCUUUGUAGGCACAUUUGCAACUGUUAUAUUUAAUCUUGUCACUCUCGUUAGAGCGAUAAAAGCAUCUGACAUACUUUGAGAACCGUUUUAAAGAUCUAGGAUCUAUUACAUUACAAUUUCAGGUUGUGCGGUAUGGGGAAUUAAAUGAGACAUAGUGGGAGUUGUCCACAAUAAUGCACAUCAUUCUUCAGGAACAUUGACGUUCUUAUCUCCCCUUAAUGUUGGGAAGACUAUCUCAUAGAAGUGACGAUCUGCGAAACGAGGAGUAAAGAUAUCACCUAUCAAAGGUUCUAUGUAACAAAUGAUUGAAGGAGAAUCAUAACCAACAUAGAUUCUCAUCCUUCUCUGAGGACUCAUUUUGGUACUUAAAGGCUGCACAAUUGACACAUAGACCGUAAAACCAAAGAUAUGUUGAUGCGAGAUGUCGAUCUCGAACCAACAUGGCUACAUGAAAUAUUACAUGGCCUUAGACAGUGAUUAGGAUUUUGGUAUGUAUGACCACUGAUCAAGCGAUCAUUUAAAGGCGCUUAAUAAAGAAUCUUGCCAAGCUGUUUUGGGUAUAAACUUGGAGCAUCAGAUGUUCAACUUUAAUCCCAACAGACAUGUAAUAGCCAUCAAAAGUUUUUUAUGUGAAUUCUCCAGCAUUAUCCAAUCAGAUCGACUUAAUCAGAUAAUCAGGGGGUGAUCCCUUAGCUUAAUAAACUAAGUUAACAAUUUGGAGAAUGAAAUGUUUUAGGUGUACGAAAGACACGUGUGUGGCCAACACAUAGAAGUAUCAACCAAUUCAUAAAGUAUUUAAAUGGUCUAUAAGGUGCUUGAAUCGGUCCACCCUCUGGAGCAAGUUUGGCAUGCAAGGUCCUGCUAGAUUUCUUCUAAUCUUUGGACUAAAGGAUGCCUAUGAGUAGAGGUGAAGAUAUAGCGCAUCACAACUCGGUCAAGGUGUUCUAAAUUGUCAUACCAAAGAAAAUUUUCAUGUGCAAUUUUGAGGGGGGCCAGGCAUAUAGUAGCAUUCUAUAGAAUAAAUGGUAGUAAUACCUAUUCCAUUCAGGAGUAGCUCUAUCUGUAGACAUGUAAAUUUUGUUGCAUGCAAAUGAUACAUCAUAAAGCUCCACGUGGCAUAUGACUCAUCAUAAAUGGACAAGUCGUCAAUGACACGUGGCACAAAUCAAGCAAAAGAAGUGUAAAACAUCCCCAAAAUUCGGCAAAAAGGGAAGAAAUCCUUUAAAAUCGGCAAGGGGUCCAAAUUGCUCCCAAAACUGGAAAGAAAGCUAAAGCAUCUUCACAAAACAAGCAAGAGUUGAAGAGUGCUCACAAAAUAGGCAUCAAGGCCUACAAAUUUCGGCCAAUAUGAGGAAGGUGGCUGAAAUUAAGACACAAAACAUGCCUAAAUUCUCCUAUGGACGAAUCAAGACACAAAUCAAAGCCAAAUCCAUCUAAAGGCAAGCUUUGAGAAGUCUAUAAAUACCCCCAAGACAAGCAUAAGGUCGACAAUUUUUAUAUUCAAAGUUAGAAAUUCUACAUUCAGAAGAACUUCUGCACAAAUCUUUGAAGACUAUUACGCUGUCAAAGCCCUCUUUGAAGAACUCACAACCAAAGUCGAAGCUUUAUUUCGACCAAAGUCGAAGCUUUCCCAUGAAGAAUCAGCAAGCACUUGUGCCGAUUCCUUCAAGACUUUGUUGCGAGCUCAAAACUUGUAACGACGUUCGAUUCAAGAUCAAGACAUCAAGACCCUUGAAUAAAAAAUCCUACAUCAAUUAUACCUUUGCCUCAGCUUUGAGGUGAAGACCUGAUGAGUAGAUUUUAUAUUAUAUAUUUUACCCUAAUCUUAGUAUAUUUUGGUUAAUAUAUUGGAAGAAUUUUGAUACUUUGAAUUGUAUUUUCAAUAUAGGACUUUCGACUUCCUCUGGAGCAAAACAGGAUCAAAUGGACGAAUUUUGGAGUAAUUCCAAUUGGAGGACGUUCGUGAGUCACUUAGCUUGAUCGUAUCAAAAUUUGGGAUUUUUCCACCAAGCGGUUAUUUUCUGGCGAUGAAAUAAAGAAGCAGUGCGCAGUGCUGGAAAGUGACGUUUUUGGGCUUAAAUUGCGUUUUUGGAGCCCAAAAUGACCUUGGAUGGGUUUGUGGCCUUCUGGAAAAGUACUCAGAAUAUUCCAAACAUUAAAUCCAGCUAUAUUGGGCCAGUUUUGGAGCAGCUUAUGGGCCAAAACGUGACUGUUCAGAUUUUAGACGAAUUUUAUCAUUUAAUUUAGGGUUAUGUUUCCUAGGGUUUUUGGGGUGGCUUGAAAAAUAUAUUGCUUAGCCGUCUAUAGUUUUAGACUACGCUUUCUUUUAUGCAAUUUUGGAGACAGAGAGAAUUGUUAGGAUUUUGAAGACUUUUUACUUGAAGGUGCUUUCAAUCCUUUUCUUGAAUAUAUUUUCUAUGAUUUCAAUUAUGAAUAUGCGGAACUAAUUUCUUUUGCUAGGGUGAAGCCUUGAGCCUUAUUAUGAAUAAGUGAUUUUUAUUUAAUUGCUUAUGAAAGAUUGCAUGCGUACUUUGAAUUGUUAAUCACCGGGAUAAAAACUAUCUAAUUGUCGUAAUGCCUAAUCACCAUUAGGAUCUUUAGAAAAGUAAUUUGAUGCAAUUUUGGUCGGAAGGUUCCCUGAAAUUGACGCUGGCUUCUUGUGAUUAAUAAUUGUAAUUUCUCUUAGGAUGAAUAUCACGUCUUAAGGAUUGCAUGUUUUUCAAAAGAUUUUCAUAAAGCAUAAUGAGUCUUUCAUGUUUAGAUUUGAUCCGAACGUUCGGACGGGUUGCAUGUUAGAUAUAUGUUCUAUGUUGGAGGUUCCAAGUAGAAUAUGAAUUAGGAAAAUCUAACCUUCAAAGUGGCAUGUGUAAAUUAUAAGUAAUUGGUAAAAAUUCAUAGGAUUGCUAGGUGAUGGUGGAACCCUAGUGCUUUCUUAAUUUUAUUCUCCCAAAACUGUUUUCUUUUCUCUCUAGCUCUAAUAUUGCAGAUUGUUUAUUUUAAUUCAUUAAUUUCGUUUUUAUUUUAAUUAGGUUAUAAAAUCAAUCACUUCAAUUUCUACUUUACAAUAAUUAAAUGGAAUCUGAUUAGUUCGAAUUAUUUAAUAAUCCCUGUGGAGACGACCUUGCGAGAUCCGUUUAUACUACAAUAACCUUGUGAUUCUUGCAAGUAAAAUAGGAGAUUUAAGCCCUUUCACAUGAGUAGUAAAAAUCCUAUCAAGACCAUCUAAGCAUUGUUUCAAGCUCAAAAUUUGAAGCAAUCGUUCAAUCCUUCGUCCGAGAUCAAGUCAUCACGACCCUUAGAUCAACAAUCUACGCAUCUACAUCAAAUUUGAAGACUGAAUCAAAGGAAAAUUGUAAAUAGAGAUUGUAGCCUACAAAUUGAAAUCAAUACAAAUCUUCUUUGUACACGUGCUCUUGUUCCAUUUGAUAUAGAAUUUUCGUGUUUACAAACUUGGCACGCCCUGUGGGACAUCUCUGCCUCUCAUCUCUGUCUUCAAAUCCGCAAGAAGCACAAAUGGCAUCAAGAAUGGAUCAAAUUGUUCCCGCUACCAAUGCAAAGAACAGGAACAUCCUUGCCAUAAGUGGUGGCACUUUGGGCGUCACAACCCAAAGCAAGGCAAUAACUCUCUACCUCUACAUCAACUAUGUCAAAUAAGCAAGAGCACCCGAGGCAUGAGCCCGUGAUCACUUUGGCCUAGCUAAGAGCACCGAGGGAAGAAAGCUUGAGGAGGUACUUCGAGUCGUUGACUUUCGAUACCGACUCAAGCUACAGCUCGUAUCCCAAAGCCAUGCAAGUCAUGACUACUGGUGCAACUUCAAUCGAAGAACAAUUGGCACAAAUGAACGAAGCAAUUGCAAGGCUGACAAGGACUAUAGAAGAGAAUGACUUGCAAAUUGCCACACUCGUCAACCGUCUGGAGGCACAUCAUGAUAGGAAAGCUGACCCAAAAUUUGAUCAGCCAAAGGAGGAAACUGACGAGAAAGAAGAGCCUCUGGUGGAGAAAACUGAGGAGAGGCUAGAGAUGGACCGAGCUGCGACACUCAUGAGGUCUCUUUCUAUCCAACAACUGCAAGAAAUGAUCACAAGCACAAUCAAGGCACAAUAUGAAAAAAGCUCGCAUGAUUCCAUGUUGUAUUCAAAUAUCUACUCUAAGAAGAUUGACACCUUGAGGAUGCCCAAAGGUUAUUGUCACAUCCCGACUCGAGCUCCCACCACAUCUUGGACUCGACUCCGCUGUAGCACAAUAUUGUCCACUUUAGGCCCCGACCACACCCUCACGGUUUUAUUUAUAGGAACUCACACGAGAACUUCCUAGUGGGUCACCCAUCAUGGGAUUACUCUUGCGCGAACUUGCUUAACUUCAGAGUUCCGGUGGAACCCAAAGCUAGUGAGCUCCCAAAAGGCCUUAUGCUAGGUAGAGAUGGGAAUAUACAUAUAAAACUUACAGGAUCCACUCCCCUUGACGAUGUGGGAUGUCACAAUCCACCCCCCUUAAGGGCUCGACAUCCUCGUCAGCACACAUCAGGCCAGAGAUUAGCUCUAAUGCCAAAUUAUCACAUCCUAGCCCGAGCUCCCACCACAUCCCAAUGUCGACUCUGCCAUAGCAUGAUAUUGUCCGCUUUAGGCCCCGACCACGCUUUCAUGGUUUUGUUUCUGGGAACUCACACGAGAACUUCCCAAUAGGUCACCUAUCAUUAGAUUGCUCUCGCGCGAACUUGCUUAACUUUAGAGUUCUGAUGGAACCCUAAGCCAGUGAUCUCCCACAAGGCCUCGUGCUAGGUAGAGCUAAGAAUAUACAUAUAAGGAUUAGAUGAUCCACUCACUUGGCCGAUGUGGGAUGUCACAAUUAUCAAUUGCCCAAAUUCAUGCAAUUCGAUGGAAAGGGCAAUCCUAAACAACAUAUUGCCUAUUUCAUUGAAACCUGAAACCAUGUUGGGAUUUAGGGAGACUACCUCAUCAAGCAAUUCGUGCACUCACUAAAUGGUAAUGCCUUCGAUUGGUACACCAACCUCGAGCCCGAGUCUAUCAACAGUUAGGACCAGCUUAAAAAGGAAUUCCUCAAUCGCUUCUACAACACUCGCCGCACCGUAAGCAUGUUGGACUUGACAAAUACAAAGUAGUGAAAUGAUGAACCUGUCGUCGACUACAUUAACAGAUGGCGUUCAUUAAGUCUGGAUUGCAAAGAUCAGCUUUUUGAAACCUCCGCCAUUGAGAUGUGUGUAUAAGGCAUGCACUGGGGGUUACAUUACAUCCUCAAAAGCAUAAAUCCGAGAACAUUUGAGGAGUUGGCUACUCAAUCCCAUGACAUGGAGCUGAGUAUUGCCAAUCAUAGGAAAAAUGAGCUAAUCACCAACUUCAAGAAGGACAAUGUGUGUGCUUCGAAGAUGGAUAAGACUGGGAAUAAGCCCGCCAAGGAAGCUUUUACUAUCAACACUACCCCUAUCAAGACCUCAUCUGCACCCUUCAAGAUAUCCUCCAAGAACAAAAUGAAGGAGAUGAAGAGAUGUGAGCCUUCUUGCACCCAAGACAGGUACAAAAACACUUUGAGGAAGCUGGAGCAGAAGACGUACCAUUUCCUGACUCUGACGUGGCUGCAAUGUUACAUCAUCCACUUGGUUGCUAAAGGUGACCAAGUCAAGUACAUUAUGUCUAAGCUGGUUCUCACAAGAAGACUAGCUAAAUAGGCAUUACUUCUCAACCAACAUGAGAUCAUCUACGUUUCACCUAAAGCCGUCAAGGGACAAGCCCUAGCAGACUUCCUUGCAGAUCAUCUAAUCAUAGUCAAUUGGAAAAUCUUGAACGACUUGCCUGAUGAUAAGGUGUUCUACAUUGACAUCUUCCAAAUGUGGACAAUGUUCUUCGACGGAUCCGCACGAGCAGAUGGAGCGGGGGUAUGAGUAGUAUCCAUGUCACCACAAAGGACAAAUACUACCCUAUUCCUUCCGAUUAAGCGAGUUGUGCUCCAACAACGUCGCUGAGUACCAAGCGCUGAUCAUUGGAUUCCAAAUGGCGAUCGACAUGGAAAUCACAAUGCUAGAAGUGUAUGGCGACUUCAAGCUCAUAAUCAAUUGACUCUUGACUGAAUAUGAAUUGAGGAAAUAUGAUCUCAUCCCAUACCUUCGGCUAGUAACUUAACUACUACAAACGUUUGAGGCCGUGAAGCUAGAACAUGUGCUAAGAAAAGAAAAUCAAAUGGUGGACGCUCUUGCUAACUUAGCCUUAAGUAUGGCGCUAGGAGAAGACGAAGUUGUAGACGUGCCUGUUUGCCAAAGAUAAGUAAUCCCACUCGCCACUGAAAUGCUACUAAAUGGCACAAACGUCAUCUCAGUACUUCCAAUUAACAUUGAAGAGUAGAGACAACUGCUAAUUGACUAUUUGGAGCAUGGAAAGCUUCCAGACGAUCCUAGGCACCGCUCUGAAAUACGUCGACGAACAUCUCGCUUCCUCUGCUACAAAGGAACACUCUACUGAUGCUCUUUCGAAGGAGUACUUUUAAGAUGCCUAGGUAAGGAAGAAGCUAAUCAAGCAUGGAAGAAGCACACUCAAGCGUAUGCGGAGCGCAUUAGUCUGGAUCAAAGUUGCACUUCCAGCUUAAAAGAAUGGGCUGCUACUGGCCAAGCAUGGUGAAUCAUUUCCUGGAAUAGGCCAAAAGGUGCCAAGCUUGCCAAUUCCACGCCUACUUCAUACAUUAACCGCCUGAGCCAUUACACCAUACGAUUGCUUCAUGGCCAUUUGAUGCAUAAGGAUUGGACAUCGUGGGACCAAUAACACCAAAAUCAUCUACCAGAUAAGCCUACAUCCUAGCCGCAAUAGACUAAUUCUCCAAGUGGGCUGAAGCCGUACCACUAAGGAAACACAAGAAAGAGACUGUCGUCUAUUCAUCAAAGAGCAUAUCAUGCAUCGAUAUGGUGUGCCUCGCUACAUCAUCACCGACAACGGAAAACAUUUCUCCAACCGACUCAUGGACGAGCUCUGCAAGAUUUACAAAUUCAAGUAGCACAAGUCUUCCAUGUAUCAUGCUCCGGCCAACAGUCUUGUGGAAGCAUCCAACAAAACGAUGUGAAACCUCUUGAAAAAGGUGAUCGGCUGAACAAAGAGAGACUGGCAUGAAAGAAUAAGCAAAACACUUUGGGCAUAUAGGAUGACACAUAGAACUCCUACCCAAGCUACGCCUUAUUCUCUCGUUUAUGGCGUGGAAGUUGUUCUACCACUCAAAAGUCAAAUCCCCUCACUAAGGAUGGCAAUACAAGAAGGUUGACUAAAAAGAAAAAUGCAAAGCUACGACUUCAAAAGUUGGAAGCACUCGACGAAAGGAGGUUCGAAGCUCAACAACACUUGGAAUGCUACCAAGCGCGGCAAUCCAAGGCAUUCAACAAGAAAGUCCACCCAAGGUCUUUCCAAACUGGAAAUCUUGUCUUGGCAUUACGAAGGCCUAUCAUCAUAACUCAUAAGACAAAAAGCAAGUUCAUAUCAAUGUGGGAUAGACUUUACAUAUACAAAAGGUCUACACCAACGACGCCUACUUAAUCAUGGUAGAAGAUGGCUUAAAGAUCGGUCACAUCAAUGGUAAAUUUUUGAAGCGUUACAACCCUUAAGCCAAACACCCAAUGCUUUUCGCCUGCAUGAGCCUAAACUACACAGGCAUAAUGCUCCUUGUUCGCAUGAGCUUAAAAGGCAACACUCAACGCUCCUUGUUUGCAUGAGCUUAAAAGGCGACACUCAAUACUCCUCGCCUGCAUGAGCUUAAACCGCACACGGCACAACACUCCUUGUUCGCACGAGUUUAAAAGGCGACACUCAACGUUCCUUGUUAGCACGAGCUUAAAAGACGACACUCAAUGCUCCUCUCCUGUAUGAGCCUAAACUGUAUACAACAACAAUGCUUCUUGUUCGCAUUACCUUAAAAGGUGACACCUAACACUUCUUGUUUGCACAAGUUUAAAAUGUGACACCCAACGCUCCUGACUCGCAAGAACAUAAACUGUGUAUGGCAAAAUCAAACACUAAAAUCACCAUCAAAACCAUAAAUAAAAAAAAUAAAUAAUAAUAAUAAUAAUAAUAAUAAUAAUAAUAAACAAUCCAUCACUCAUUUGAACUACGUCUUGACUUCAUCCCUAUUCAACCGAGCGUAUGUAGGCAACUUCAAACUUCAAAACUUCAAGUACAGUCACAUCAUCAGCAAAAAACACAAACACUUUGAAGAAUAAAGAGCAAAUUCAAGAAUGUGAAUACUUUAUUUUUUUAAAGGAAGAAUUUGGCUACAAAGCCUUAUUACAAAAUGAGCAAAAACAAAGAAGGUUUCAAGCACAAAAAAUAAAAGACACUACUUGAGAGCUAUGUCCCUAAAACUACGAUGAUGAUCUUCAAGCAAGCCUUCCAAAGUCUUCAAAGUCUCUACAUCGGUAGGAGACAAGGUGGGCAUUUCCAUGGCUGCGCCUUUCUCUUGCUCUUGGCAUGAAAUCUCCUCUUGAGGCUGAGAAAAUGUAGUUUCCUGCUCUGAGAGAACACCAUGAAGUUGUGAUGCUUCGGUUUCCAACUGCUCUCGCUCACGCGCCAACGCUUCUAAACGUGCUUGGACGAAAGCCAAAGAAGUCCAUGUAGCUUGAUAACCUUCUGAAGCAGCUUGCUGAGAAAACCGAACUUGCGCAAUUGAUAAGUAUAUUGCUGCAAGUUGUUGAGCUCUAACCUUUGGACUCAACUUUUUCAAUGAAAUAGCAUUCAAGGAAGAAUACUUAGUAGAGGUGGCCACAAGUUCGGCAAUCUUGACUCUCAAGAGCGAGGAAUCAACGUUAAGGUUAUCAGUCAUAGAAACAAGUCUGACAAGUCCUCCUUGAGAAACGCAUGGUCUUCCAAUGGGCACUUCACAAUCAUCUUCUCAAUAUGGCUCGUGAUGUCCAUAGCUAUGCUAAGGCUAAUGCAAUGGAUGAGCUGCUCAGUUCCACUGAGGUUUGACCCUCUAAGAGAGAUCUUAGAGCUAGCUGACAAAUGUGUUGGACGCAUGACAGACUCUUGCAUACCUUCACCUACACAUCGCAAACUUGGGCAACUUGGCGGAUUUGGAAUAAGCUCUACAUCGGGCAGAUCCCCAAUCUCCUUGUCUGUAGGUAGAUUGCCUCCAAAUAUCAUCUCCGUAAAGGAAUGAACGCCCAUGUUCGCCAAGUCAAAAGAACAAGAAGGCCCAGCCUAAAGAAGACAAAGAAAUGUGUUAGAAAUAAAAAGCUAAACCAAUAAUAAUAAUAAUAAUAAUAAUAAUAAAAGAAAUCAUAAGAAAAAAAUAAAUACAUACAUCUUUCUCAAGUGACACAUGACCAUCAACCUGAGGAGGCCUAAACACUUUCUUCUUUUUAUGACAGAAAUUAACGUCGUUGUCAUCCAAAGCACCUUCAAGCAGUCGUUUGUUCAAAACUUGUUGACAUUAUCGCAAAACAAGUUCAUCCUUAUGCGAGUCAACUUUGUCACCCACCUCUUUAGAAGCAUCCAAAUGAUGAGAAGACAAACACGGGUAUUAAGGAGCUAAAGCCACAGGUCCAUCUUACGAAUGAGCUGCUUUCGCAUAAUCAAAAGGUGCCAACUACGUAGGAACCACAGAAUAACCCUCUCUCAGUGCAUCAUUGCGUGAACGAGAAGAAUUGGCACCACUUAUUAUCCCUAAGUCUUCACGAUAUACCUUUGACCACCAACCUACAUAGGCAAGGGUCACUGGAUUACUUUUGAACUUGUCUUUGGUUGGCAGGGUGAUAGAAGUAUUUGUGCAUGAACGGGUACAAGACUCCCAAUGCAUAUACACGGCUUGUAAGGAUUCUGGUUGUGUGUUUUCCUUUAACUUGCCUACCACAUGUUGGACAAAACCAAAUUGCCUACUAAAAUAGUAAGGGCUAUACGGCUGAACAAUACAUUAGUCUCCUUGCCGCAAAGAAACAUACCCCGAGAAAAGACUUGUAAGAUAAAACAAGUCUGAGAAACGGAGGUGCGGAUCAUCGAUGAGGCCUCGCCUCGCCGCGCUAAGCCAACCUUAGCUAGAUGGUCCAUUUUCAAACCUUCACAACUUCUAAACAAUACCUAAGCCUGUAAAUCAUUAAGGCUCUUUGCAGAAAGCACGCCAGAGUACUUUGUCAUCAAAGGCCCCAGCUUGGCCGAAGUUGGUGAAAAAGGCUUCGACUUGUCCAAAGUCGAAGAAGAAAAAUGAGUGCCAAAGUACUCACCUAACCAACUGUACACAUAGUGGUAGUGAAGUAUUGCAGCACGAUCUUCAGUGCUCGCUGAGUUCAAAACAAUACUCAAGCCAUUGUAAAUAUUGGCUAAAACCGGAAUAGCAAGGCUGAAAGAUUCACUCGCAGCCAUCUUGCUAGCCACUUUGAAGACGUCGGGACAGAUAAGGUUGAUGUCGUCUUUUUGGGGAAAACAAACUUACAAAGCCAACAAGUUAAGAAAGCCGUUAGGUAAGAUUCCUCCACGUGCACUUUCAAUUCAGCAGGGGAAUGGUGCUUAGCUGAACCAAUGACACUUGACGGGUCUGAGUCACCCUUUGGCUUAGUAGUCUUAUUGUGGCCAAAAGGUUUCUUGUACUUCAUGGAAUCCCAAUACCAAAAUCGGAUCCAUGAAGAAAUCUUCACGCCUAACCUACCCUGAGCUUCCUAGGAAAGCUUAUGAUACGCCCAAAAUAAAGAACAGCAACUUGCAGGCAAUCCUCGACUAUUGUGAUGAGAAAAUUCCUCCAUGCUAAGAAUAACCUCAUUGUAAAACAUACCCUGUAUCGGCAAGCCUCUUAUCUUGUGGAGAUCCCAAAGUGAAAUCGACAUCUCCUCUUGUGAUGUGUUAAGUGUGUUGGUCGCUGAACACUAAUGCUCAAAGAAUGCACGAAGGACGAAAUGAUGGCGAUCAUAACUAAACAAAGAUGCGUACAUAGCGUGAUAAAGGCCCACGUUGGUAAGCAAAUCUUUGGUUAGGCUCAAGACAUCUUCAAGCCACUCCCAGUAAAACUCAAUAAAGAUAGCUUUUCCAUAGUUGGCAAAGUGCUACUCCAAGUCACAGCUUCGCUACAGAUGAGAUCACCAAGAAGCUCAAACAAAGCCGGUGAAUUGUCACGAACAUGGUGUGAGGGAUACAAGACAAGAAUCCUCGAUGUACACGCCUUCUUUUUCGUAUUUGGUAGACCAAAAUCUAUCACCUCCCAAGAUAGUUUAGAAGACCAUGACUUGAUAUGCAUCGAGUUGUCUUUCGCAGAAAGAACAAACGCCUUAAGGCCAGUUAACGGCGCACAAAGUUUCAACGUCAUUCCUUUAUCUUGCGAAUCGCCUUCCUCCAGUGAGUACCUUUUGAGCAUCAGGAGUGUUGUACUACGCAAAAAACUGAUCAGCCUUAUAGAUCCAAGCAAGUGGGUUGUGGUCUUCAGUGAAGUGAGGAAAAUUAACCCGAAGGGCCCAUGGUGGUCGAUGUGUUUGGCCACCACCAGUCUUAUUUGGGUUACAAGGGAACUGGAUCUGGUCCAAAUCACGCGUCGGUGAAACCCAGAGUGGAGGAGCCCUCCCUCUCCCCCUCACUACAAGCAGCAGUUUCAUGGUAGAAUUGCUCGAAAUACACCGGAAGGUGAUGUUCAAGAGUCGACGGAAGCUAAGUGGUGAAAGCAUCGGAGAUAGCAGAGUGAGCGGAAGAGUUCACCGCAUCUACAAGCCUGGUAGAAAGGUUAGUAAUGGUGGUCUCUAGAGCAGAAACACAAGCAUCCAUGGUAGUGGUGCAAGUAGUAACGUGUGAUAGGGCACACACGAGGAAGGGAGCCAGGAUCAGUGGGUGAUACCAAUGUUAGUACCCCAGUAAUGUAGGUCGACCUUGACCUGUGUUAAUGGAGGUGAUCACUCAUAUAUUUCAUGCAUUUAUACCAUCCAUUUCUAAAGUUUUUGUGAUGUUUUUGUGUUAAAAUUGUGGCAUUUUACCUCACCUUGUGUUAAUGUGCAGUUAAUUUUGUUUUAGGAUCAAUUUCAAGCAAAAUUGAGAAAAGAAAUAAAAAAAAAACUGAACAGAAAAUAAAUGGGACGGAAAGGAAGACACUGAGCAGAAAACAAAGGGAGUGGAGAGACUAAAGGACACAGACUGAGUGAAAAACAAAAGAAAAGAAUAAUAAGAGAGGAAGUGGGAGAGACACGGAAACAUAAAGAAAGGCCAGUGCGCAAAGAGAGUGGAGGACAGACUGAGUGCACAGAGAGGAGUGCAGGACACGGGGACAGACGCAGACAAAGAAGAGUGGAUAGACCGAAGAAAAGGGAAACUGAGGGCGCGAAUAAAAAAAAACUGACAGAGGAAUAAAAAAGGAAGUGAGAAGAGAGAGAGGAAAAAAAAAAAACGGCAGAGAGCAAGGAAGGAAAGAAUAAGAAGCUUCACUCUAUUUUUCUUGGUUUUAUCUUCUCAAACCCAUGUUUUACUUUUGGUUUAAUUUGAGAAUUAUGUGUAACUAAAUUUUAAGUAGUUAGGGGCUGUUUUGAAGCCCCGAAUAUGAUUGCAAGUUUGUUAUGACAUUUCAUUGAAUUGCUUUUAUGAAUUGAUGAAAAUUGGUUUACUACUUAUGUCAGUGAUGAAUUCUUUAUAUGUUUUCUAUGGAUGCAUACUUAGUAAGCAUAUUUAGGAUUCAAAUGCUAUGAAUAUAUGUAUGCCUGCCCUUGUUGAAUGAGGACCUACAUAUGUUCUAGAGUAGUACUUGUUAAUUGCGAUUAACAUGUGAACCAAUUUCUAGGAUAAGUAAGACAUUGCCAGUACUUACCAUGCCUUGUGAUGACUGAAACUCUUUUCGUUCUUAAUGAUUUUUACUUGUUAAAUCUAUGAACACGCCAUUCUAGAUUGCAUGCUAGGGACUACGUUAAGUUGAAAACGUCAUUCUCUUAACAUACUACGUAAGAAAGAGUAAUAGGUUGUGUUCUAACAUUGAGCCAACUUGAGCAUCUUCAUCCGGAAAUAAAAGGAAUUUGAAUGAAACAUAACAUGUUUGCAUGAUUAUUUGGUGGUGGAUAACAAUUCCCCUAACUCGUUUUUCUCAAACUUGUGAUCUACUCAAAAUCUGUUUCUGUACUGUUUUUGUACGAUUUAAUUUAAAUAGAAAAUCAACUCCAAAAAUCCCAAAAAUUUGUGAGACUGUCGUACUGUGUGUCUAGUAUUUGCAUAUAAAAUUUAAUAGACUUUAGACCAGUGUAAGUCAGUCUAAUAAUUAUUUUUUGGUGGCUGGUCAGUAGGGACAUCAACCAGUUUUUGUGACAUUUUAAGUAGUUAGAUAAAACAAUCUUCUGCGAGAAAGACCCUUAUUUUCAUAUGCUACAAUUGACAAAUCCUAGUGUUAAUAAGGAAAAUUAAUAGGAUAUUUGUGUGCUACUUUGUGGUGUGCUUUUAAUCCUAUCAGGAGGAAUGGCAAGUAUAGAGACGGAGGAAAAAGAAGACUAAUAAAAAAGUAAAUUUUGAUUCAAUUCAUAUGUGACUGUUGCCACCACAAACGUGGGGAAUUUAACAACCUUUUUGGUAGCUCACCGAGUGUGUGAGCUCCAACUCAACACUAAAGGACAAAACCUAUUUAAAUGACUCCCUAUACUCAUCACUAUUAUAAUAAAAUGGCUCCCUAUAUUUAAAUGAGCUCCAACCCUUCCAUUACAAUUUCAUCCUAAUCCUUUGUGAUUAAGGGAAUCACAAUUAUAAGGAACAUAACAAUCUUUUUGUUUAUCUAUGGCAUCUGUUGGAGGUGUUGUGUUGGGAGUUUUUUUGCUUGCCCUUAUCUUCUUCUAGAUCCAUGCAGAUGGUCAUCCGUUUGGCUCACUAGUGCAGCAAUGGUGAUGAAUACUUCAACUGUUUCUCUACGGCUAAGGUUUUGUUGUUCUUUGGGCUUUGUUUUUGUUUGGGCCUAAUCUCUGUUUAUUGGGCCUUGUUUCAUUUCCUUUGUAUUUUCUUUGUUUGUUGAAUGAAAAGUUCACUUGUCAAAAAUAAAAAAUAAAAUCACCGUACAUAAACAACAAAUUCACACUAUCAUAGGAAGGGGAAUUGAAAAUGUAGAAACGUACAUUAACCAUGUAGUUUUAUAAAUAUACAGAGGUACGGAUUAUAGAAAUAUAAAUAAACAUAAGUACAGAAUUAUCGAUAUAUAAAUGUACAUAGAUACAAUAAUAUAGAAUAAAUAUACAUAAGUACAAAAAUAUAGAUACAAAAGUGCAUCUAUAUACACUCAUAUAAAAGUAAAUAGGUACAAAAAUAUCCAGAUACUAGAUAUACACCUCUUUGUAGAUACAUCACCCUUGAAUAGGUUACCAAGGGGUUUGUGAACUUUAAUCCUAGAUAAAUAUCGUAAUGUAAUUAAAAUCUAGUGUUAUAUUACAUAUUGCUUGUAGUCAUUUAAUGUGUGCUUUAAUUCUAAUUCAAAUUCAUAUUCAGCUUUUAUUUUAAUAUAUAUGUGGGUACUAUAUUGUCUACCAUUAAAUAUUUGAAUUUAUUAAUAUACACAUCUUAAUUUAUUAAUUUUGUUUAGUAUCCUUUAAUUAUGUCCCUAUAAAUGUACCUAAAUGAGAGAGACUUCAAAAUAAUAAUAAUAAUAAUAAUAGUGACACGUAAGUAAAAUAUGCAAAAUACAUAAGUGUACUGAAAAUAUAUUAAAAUAAAUUUGAUGUACCUAAAUAUAUGUCCCGAAAUAUAUUAUAAUGAAUUCAUGUACCUAAAUGUAUGUACCAAAUAGUUGUACUAAAAUGUAUGCACAGAAAUGUAUUGUAUCAAACUAACAUACCGAAUUAUCAGUACCAAAAUAUAUUAUAUUGAAUUAAUGUACCUAACCUAAAUGUCUAUACCAAAAUAUAUUAAAUUAAUUAACGUACCUAAAUGAAGAACACAAAAUGUAUUGAAAUAUAUUAUAUAAAAAAAUUUGUUUACCUAAAUGUCAACAGAAAAAUAUAUUAUGAUGAAUGAAAUGAAAAGUUAGAUUAAAUGUAAUUAAUACAUUAAAAUAUGAAAGAAGAAGAAAAAAAUAAAACAUAAAAAUAUAUAUAAUAAAUGAGACGAUUAAAUGUAUCAAUAGAUUAAAACUAGAUUAAUCUUACAUAAGGUUUUAGUCUAAAGUCAUCUUUUCUAAGGAUUAGAAUUAAGUUUUCUACAUGUUUGGUUUUUUUUUUUCUUUUAUCAACUAUAUAUUACGAUUAAAUAAAAUAUUAUGAAUAUUAUGGGGUCUUUGAACACCCUUUUUAUCAGUCUAAAGUCAACAUGACGAAAAUAUUUUUGAAAAAUUAUUUUACACACUAUUUUUCUCAUUCUACAACUGUCACAGCCCGUUCCAAAAUAUUACAUUCGUGGCUGUGAAUGGACGAAAUUGCCCUUAAGAAAUACUAAGUAUGUGAAGCUCAAGUUGAUAAUUAUCUAAGUUCCUAAGUUUUGAAAAUAAAAUGGAAUUUAAUAAGGAUGGAACUUAGAUUUUUAGGUUAAAAUUUUGUGGUUUAGAGUUGGGGAUUGGAAAAGGACCACGUGGGAUCCCCAUUCCUUAUUUCCCUCCCCAUUUCCCGUAUACUGUCCUUCACACUCUCUCUCUCUCCUCCCUCACGAUUACUCUCAGUUCUCUCUCCCUCUCCUUCGAACUCACACGGACCACCACAAAACCACCUAAAACCUAUACCAACGACGAAUCUAACACCACCAUUGGAACCCUGAAGACUUCACGAUCACGAUGGUAUCCAUUUCAAGUAAGUUUUGCUUCGGAAAACCCUAGUUUCAAAGUUCCCGUGAAAUGGUACUGUUCAUGAUCUUUUAAAUGGUUACGAUUUAGGCUAAAACAAGAUCACAGCGAGCUUGGUGAGGUCCCAAGGAAGCUCGGAGUGCUUCGUUGGAAGUUUUUGGACGUAAGAACACGGAGAUCGACAAGUUCAAAGUUUGGCCGGAGCUUUCGAGGCUUUUUCCGGCGAAUCCCCGGCGAGUUAGGAGUCGAGGUAGGUAUCAAUCUCUUCGUCUCGUCAAGUACUACAACUUUCCUUUUUGUUUCACUCAAUUUAGUUGAGUAUUGAAGAAGUUAUACUCAUUUGAAAAAUACCCAGUUUCCGGCGACCUCCGAGGCUUUCGAGGCAGUUUCCGGCCAAAAAACGGCAAACUAGGUGUUGUGCAAGGUACCAUUCUCUUUGUAUAUUCAAGGGCUACAACUUUCGUUUUUGAAUCACUUGAUUUCGUUGAGAAAUGACAAAGUUAUGGCAAUUUGAAAAACUGCCCAGAAAACGGCCGCCGGAAAAACCAGUCCGGCGACCCAAGGAAGAAGAAGGUGCUACAGUAAAAAUAAAAAAUAAAAAUAAAAUUAUUUUAAAAAUAUGUCGACGUCCGUGACGUCGAGUAGAUCACUGUGGUAUAUUCAUAUACCUAAAUUGAACACCGUAUGAGAAAGUUAUUGAGGAUUGUUGGUUAGGUGUUCAAAUAACGUUUUAUAGUUUUCACAUUUAGGUGAAAAUGUGAAUUGAUGAUCCGACCGUUGGAUCAUCACCAAACUUUGAUACGUUGUAAUACGUAAUAUUUUGAGGAUUAUUGGAACUUACGGAUUGGGAAUCCGAGUUACGGAUCUUCCGGAAUUGGAAUUGUAAGUCCAUAAUAUAAAAUGUUAACCGUCACUUAGUUUUGGAAAUUGACGGAGAUCCGACCGUUGGAUGGUAAUGAAAUUUUAGGAUGUUAUCCUAGAGAUAUAUUGUGGACCUCUGGAAGUUAUGGAUUUAAAAUCUGAGUGGCAGAUCUUCCGGAUCGAACUACGUAGUGACGUAUUUUAUAUAAGUUAUAUAUUCUAUCGAUAUGAAUUCUGAGGUUGGAUUUGAUUACUAUUCUAGGCGGCGAUCGUCGUGACGCCUUGAUGUGUGGUGCUAGGGAGUUGUUGGACGAACUCCAGGUGAGUGGGCAGUUUUGUUUUCCGUAUAUAUAUAUAUACUUAUACGUUUUUUCCCAGAAAUUGAAAAUGCAUGAAAUUAUGUUUUAAAAUGAAAUGCAUAUGAGUUAUGUGGAAAAACGGGAAGUGAAAUACCAUGCAUAGAAUUGAUAUGAAAAAAGUAUAUAGAAAUGUGAGUUGAAAUGCCAUGCAUGAAUUAAUAUAUGAUGCAUAUGUAUGAAUUGGUGCGGUGGACGCACAGGUAAGAAUUGAUUUAUGAUGCAUAUGUAUGAAUUGGUGCGGUGGACGCACAGGUAAGAAUUGAUUUAUGAUGCAUAUGUAUGAAAUGGUGCGGUGGACGCACAGAUGAGUAUUUAAUUACUGUUAUGAUGAUGAUGAUAUAUAUUGAGCUCAAAUCCUGCACCAUGGUUUAGUGCUUAUAGUAUUCACCGCAUCGCACGCUCGCCUUGGAUCCAAGUAGAUGCUAGUCGUACAGUCCACGCGGAGUGGGUACGACAGACCAGUCGCGAGAGUGUUAGUGAGAUUCCGACUGGUGGGUGACCUUAGAUUAUGUGCACAGAUGAUUUAUGAGAAGCACUAGAGCGUAACUUGUGUGCAGAAGGCCGGACGGGUCACAGAGGUGACUCCGGUAGAGUGAUAAUGAUAGAUUUUGAGCUCUAGGUUCAACCGUAUAGGGCUAUUAGAGGGCCUACGGUUGAUUACUUUCUUGCACCUGAUAUGAUUAUGUUGAUGCAUUCAUACCUUAUUACUGUUGAGAUGAUGUGGCAUGGCAUAAUUAAUAUGAGAAAUGUUGAGAUGACAUGGCAUGGCAUGAUUGAUAAAGAGAUAAUGUUGAGAUAGUAAAAAAUGAAGUUUUGAGAAUAUAUAUGUAUAUUUAUAUUUUACAUUUCUGGGAAAGUAUACAGGUUUUACGGAGAGGGGUUACAACGUUUUGAGAAAUGUUUGGAUUUGGAAAAGAAUUGUUUUACUGACCCACUCAAUUUUGGUUUUGCGCCCCUCCAGGUUCAGGAAUCACAAAGGUGUGGUGACUACGAGGAAUUCGACGGUGUUCUGACAGAUUGGACAAAAUUAGGACUCACCUUCGGGUGUAUCAACUUAUAAAUUAUAUCUUAAAGCUUCCGUACUGUGCAAAUGGUUACGUCACUCUCACGUGACGGCCUCAGAACACCGUCGAAUUCCUCGUAGUCACCACACCUUUGUGAUUCCUGAACCUGGAGGGGCGCAAAACCAAAAUUGAGUGGGUCAGUAAAACAAUUCUUUUCCAAAUCCAAACAUUUCUCAAAACGUUGUAACCCCUCUCCGUAAAACCUGUAUACUUUCCCAGAAAUGUAAAAUAUAAAUAUACAUAUAUAUUCUCAAGACUUCAAGUCGUUAACUCAACAUUUUCAUACAAUUAUGCCAUGCCACAUCAUCUCAACAUUUCUCAUAUUAAUUAUGCCAUGCCACAUCAUCUCAACAGUAAUAAGGUAUGAAUGCAUCAACAUAAUCAUAUCAGGUGCCAGAAAGUAAUCAAUCGUAGGCCCUCUAAUAGCCCUGUACGGUUGAACCUAGAGCUCAAAAUCUAUCAUUCUCACACUCUGCCGGAGUCACUCCGCGUGACCUGUACGGCCUUCUGCACAUAAGUUACGCUCUAGUGCUUCUCAUAAUCAUCUGUGCACAUAAUCUAAGGUCACCCACCAGUCGGAAUCUCACUAACACUCUCCCGACUGGCCUGUCGUACCCACUCCGCGUGGACUGUACGACUAGCAUCUACUUGGAUCCAAGACGAGCGUGCGAUGCGGUGAAUACUAUAAGCACUAAACUAUGGUGCAGGAUUUGAGCUCAAUAUACAUCAACAUCAUCAUAACAGAAAUAAAUACUCACAUGUGCGUCCACCGCACCAUUUCAUACAUAUGCAUCAUAAAUCAAUUCUUACCCGUGCGUCCACCGCACCAAUUCAUACAUAUGCAUCAUAAAUCAAUUCUUACUUGUGCGUCCACCGCACCAAUUCAUACAUAUGCAUCAUAAAUCAAUUCUUACCUGUGCGUCCACCGCACUAAUUCAUACAUAUGCAUCAUAUAUUAAUUCAUGCAUGGCAUUUCAACUCACAUUUCUAAAUACUUUUCAUAUCAAUUCUAUGCAUGGUAUUUCACUUCCCGUUUUUCCACAUAACUCAUAUGCAUUUCAUUUUAAACAUAUUUUCAUUUCAAUUCAAUUUUUGGGAAACGUCAAGUAUAUAUAUAUACGGAAAACAAAACUGCCCACUCACCUGGAGUUCGUCCAACAACUCCCUAGCACCACACAUCAAGGCGUCACGACGAUCGCCGCCUAGAAUAGUAAUCAAAUCCAACCUCAGAAUUCAUAGUGAUAGAAUAUAUAACUUAUAUAAAAUACGUCACUACGUAGUUCGAUCCGGAAGAUCUGCCACUCAGAUUUUAAAUCCAUAACUUCCAGAGGUCCACAAUAUAUCUCUAGGAUAACAUCCUAAAAUUUCAUUUCCAUCCAACGGUCGGAUCUCCGUCAAUUUCCAAAAAUAAGUGACGGUUAACAUUUUAUAUUAUGGACUUACAAUUCCAAUUCCGGAAGAUCCGUAACUCGGAUUCCCAAUCCGUAAGUUCCAAUAAUCCUCAAAUAUUACGUAUUACAACGUAUCAAAGUUUGGUAACGAUCCAACGGUAGGACUCACCUUCGGGUGUAUCAAUUUAAAUUGUAUCUUAAAGCUUCCGUACUGUGCAAAUGGUUACGUCACUCUCACGUGACGGCCAGCAUGCCCUCCUUCGGGACGGGGUGUGUCAGUUGGUAUCAGAGCAUGGUUGCAAUCUUGGACAUUUUGAGAAGUUCUAGUGAAUUCUGUCAGAACUACACCGCCUCGUAGCAAACCACGUAGUUAGAGGAACUUAGUCUCCCUGAUUUAGCGGGUUAGGGGAAACUAUUCUUAUGGUGAUUCAGUAUAUUAGAAAAAUGGACAUUUUAAGACGGGUUAUGAGUUGAAUUUGAAUCACUUAAGAGAAAUGAUGAACCUGAGGGAACAAAGUGACGGAUUAACCAAUUGGAAAAGAUGUUUCGGAAUAUGCAAGUCAAAGGAAUCUUCCUUCUGACAAGGGGUCGAGACGACUACCUGGUUUUGGUUAUGAAUUUGUAUCCUGGUGGAAACAGGAGUAUGAAUUGUUGUCACCAGAGGAAUCAGUCGAUUGAGAAUAGUUUAAGGAAUAUUUAUAUUUUACAUUUCUGGGAAAGUAUACAGGUUUUACGGAGAGGGGUUACAACGUUUUGAGAAAUGUUUGGAUUUGGAAAAGAAUUGUUUUACUGACCCACUCAAUUUUGGUUUUGCGCCCCUCCAGGUUCAGGAAUCACAAAGGUGUGGUGACUACGAGGAAUUCGACGGUGUUCUGACAGAUUGGACAAAAUUAGGACUCACCUUCGGGUGUAUCAAUUUAAAUUGUAUCUUAAAGCUUCCGUACUGUGCAAAUGGUUACGUCACUCUCACGUGACGGCCAGCAUGCCCUCCUUCGGGACGGGGUGUGUCAGUUGGUAUCAGAGCAUGGUUGCAAUCUUGGACAUUUUGAGAAGUUCUAGUGAAUUCUGUCAGAAACUACACCGCCUCGUAGCAAACCACGUAGUUAGAGGAACUUAGUCUCCCUGAUUUUUAGCGGGUUAGGGGAAACUAUUCUUAUGGUGAUUCAGUAUAUUAGAAAAAAUGGACAUUUUAAGACGGGUUAUGAGUUGAAUUUGAAUCACUUAAGAGAAAUGAUGAACCUGAGGGAACAAAGUGACAGAUUAACCAAUUGGAAAAGAUGUUUCGGAAUAUGCAAGUCAAAAGGAAUCUUCCUUCUGACAAGGGGUCGAGGACGACUACCUGGUUUUGGUUAUGAAUUUGUAUCCUGGUGGAAACAGGAGUAUGAAUUGUUGUCACCAGAGGAAUCAGUCGAUUGAGAAUAGUUUAAGGACUUGUUUAAAGGAAAAGUUUAUCCCUCCGGCAUUUAUCGAUGGUAGUAAACAAGAGUUUACAAAUAUGAGACAAGGAAGGUGAUGAUCGAGAGGAUAUUAUAGAAAGUUUUCAGAUUAGCCUCGUUCCAUCCAGAUAUUGUUUGUUAAUUUGGUGGAGGUGUUAUGUUGUUUUAAGCUGCUGGGUGACAAAAGGGAAGUGGUAUUUGGGUGACCACUAUCCAUUGUAGUUCUUAUCAGGAGUAUGCUAGAUGUUUGUUGAAUCUUGAGGACUCUGAGAACAUGAGCAACGAGAAUAAAGAAGAAUAAGAAAUGAAUGGGAAUUAAAAGAAGACGAUAAAGUUAAUGAUUCGUCAUAUCAAGGAUAUAGAAAGAUUCAGAGCUUCGAAAGAAGUGAAGCUAGAGUUAAUUCUUCCAGCUGAGGUUUUAAUGUCGCUGGUCAGAAUAAAAGUGAUGGAUAUACUGGUAAUCCCAGAUAUUUGAGACAAGGUGUCUCGAGUAAAGGAAAUGUACCUUGUGCUGCAGGUACAAAAAUUAACACUUUGGAAAGUGUGAAAUUAAUGAAUGUGUUUAUGUGAACAGAGGGGACACAGAAUUGUGAAUCGUCCCUAGAAUCAGUUGUACUCAAUAAUUUUCCAUGAUAUCAUAGUGUCGAUUCAGAAGAGUUAUAAACUUAGUAGUUUGGUCAGAUUGACUGUGAGUACAGAGAGAUUUGAUGAGUUAUAUGUUCAGCCGUACAGGCCACGAGAAGUGGAUUCGAUUGACACAUGCGAAAUUGGUGAGUUAUAGGCUCGGCCGUACCGACCACGCGGAGUGGAUCCGGCCGACGUAUUAUUUGAGAUAAGAGUUGAAUCAACCGUAUUGGUCAUUCUAGUUGACUUCGGCUGAUAUAUUUCUUAUGAUGUAUGUUAUUACCUAGAGAGUAGUAAAUAAAUGUAGUUGAGACGAGUGUAUGUAUUUUGCAUUGAGUGACAAAAUAGUAAUGUUAUAUCUUUGUGAGUGGUUGCCUACUUAUCGAGACAACGAUGAUUUAUCAGUAUUGCGGGCUGCAGACCGUAAUAUUAAUAACUCAUUCGUGGAUUCGUUAAGUAAGUAAACCGGUAGAUUAUUUUGUACUUAUUCAGAAUGCUUAGUAGUAAUAGAAUAUAUAUUGUAUCAGUUAAUUAUGUUCCAUUAGAUUGGUUGGUUAUAAUUGUGACAAGACGAAAUGUUAUGGGAAACCAGUACUUUCCAUCGAUCUGGAUGAACAGAGAUUACUUUUGUAAGUAUGCAAAAUGGAUUGAGUCAGGCUGUUAUUUAUGCUGUGUGAGAGCAAAGAGAUUGUUUUCGAAAGGCUGUAAAAAAUACUUAGCUCAUGUGGUGCUAAAUGAUGUUGUUUGGAGUAGUGUGAAUAAUGUCGAAAGAGUUAGACUUUUCUUGAUGUCUUCCUUGAAAGUAUACCUGGAUUGCCUUCAGGCAGAGAUAUGAGGUUCAUUAUUGAUUUGUUGCCAGGUAUAAAUUUAUAUUGGAGAUUGGUUCAUGAUGAGUUAAGGGAAUUGGAAAUUCAGUUGAGGGAAUUGGUUGAUAAAAGUUUUAUUCAACCUAGUACAACACUUUUGAGGAGCCCCAGUUUGUUGGUGAGGAAGAAAAUGGAUCUUGAGACUGUUCAUUGAUUAUAGACAAUGGAGUCGGGUAACGAUUGAGAACCGUUAUCCAUGGUGAUGUACUGAUGUUUAUUUAACCAGCUCAGAAGUAAUUGCGAAGAUUCAAAGAUUGAAUUGAGAUCUGGUUACUACCAAUUGAAUAUUAUAAGUGACGUUGAUCAUAAGAUGGUUUCUGGACUUGUUAUGGUCCUUAUAAAGUUUGGUGAUGCUAUGUGGAUACUCAUGCGGUUUUAUGAAUUAUUGGAUGAAGUAUUCCAAUAAUGCCUUGAUAAAUAGAUAUCAUUUUCAUUGAAGAUAUUCUGGCAUAUUCUGAGCCAGAGCAGAGCAUGUAAACGUAUUAAGUCGGUAGAACAAAGAUUGGAAGAAUGUCGAUUGUAUGCUAAGUUUAGCAAAUGCGAAUGUUGGAUGAAUCAAGCAGCAUUUCUGGGAUAUGUUAUAUAUUCUUAAGGUAUUCAAGUGAAUCCUUAAAAGGUAACAGAAAUUAAAAUUUGGAACAACCACGAGUCGUAAUUGAGAUUUGGAAUUUCUUAGCUUACCAGGCUAUCUUGGAUGGUUGUGAAAGAUUUUUCAGUCAUUGCUUUGUCAUUGAUGAGACUGUUGAGAAAAGAGGUUAGGUAUGAGUGGGAAGGAAUUGUAAGCAAAGGAUUCAACAACUGAAGUAUUUCCUCACUCAUGCACGUAUUUUGGUAUUCCCAGAGAAUAGUGGUAAUCAUAAAUUUUUAGUGAUGUUUCUUGAAUGGUAUUGGAGGCAUGUUGAUGCAAAUGUUAGGGUGAUUGCAUACGUUUCACGAUAAAUGGAAUCUCAUAAGAUGAAUUACCCUACUGGUGAUUUGGAAGUCACGAUUACCAUUCUUGCUGUGAAGUUAUGGAGACAUUAUAUUUUAGUGGGAAUGCAAGAUUUUUUUUUUUACGAAUCCAAAAAGUCUUCAAUAUCCAUUACUUGGAAGGAUUUGAUAUGAGGCAGCGAAAGUGAAUUGUAUUGCUUAAUGAACAUGAUUGUACGAUCAGGGUGAUCGUAAAGUUUGUUCUAGCUGAAGCACUUGGUGAGAAGACUACAGUAAGAUUAAUAUCUGGCAUGUUUGCCAAGAGUAUCAUCUUGUGGAUUGAAAACCAACGGAAGAAAAAUUAAGAAUGGAAGAUCGAGAAGAAGUUAUACUUGUUAAGUAACAAGUUAGUACAUUUACUCCAGUGUUGAGUAACAACCUUUCCCAGACAGUGCAACACUACUUAUUUGUUUUAUGGAAAAGAGAAUUGGAUUACGGAACUGCUAAGUUUCUUAAGUAUGUUGGUUGUGCAGUUUCUGAAGUAACGCCAUAAGGACCAUGAAAUGUGUCACGUGAGUCGGUUUUUGAUGACUUGUGAAUGGAAUGUUUCUGGGUAGAGAAAGAUUCGAUCAAGAAAGAGUUUUAGUAGACCCUGAGACUAUGGAUGAGUCUCCUCAAAGUAUUCAGGUGAUUAAGUUAACCUGAAGUAACCAGGAAUGGCAAAAGAGAUCAACAGAUGGAUAUGCCACUAAUCAAGUGUGUAAGGUAAAUGGUUUGAUAUUUUUGGAAAUUUCACCAUGAACAGAAAUAGUAAGAUUCAGAAAGGGAGACAAGAUAAGUCUUGAACACAUCAGUCCGUUUUGAUCAUUAAAGGAAUCGACGAAGUUGCAUACAAGUUUGUGAUGCCUUCAGAAUUGGCUAAGGCACAUAAUGUAUUUUGUGUUUGAUGCGUUGUCACUAGGUGGCAGAUUUGUCACAUGGGAUUAUGGUGUAACUAUUGAGAAUUAAAUUGGAUUCGACUUGAUAAGGAACCAAGGACGACUUUGGAUUGGAAAAAGAAGGUCCUGAGAAUUAAGACAGAGUAAGUAGUAAAAGCUUUGUGAAGGAAAUCAUUCAGUAGAAAAGUAUGUGGGAGAAAGAGAAUCGGAUGAGAGAGAUUUACCCGAAGCUAUUGUUGGAGUAUGGUUGAUUUAGUUGGUUGCUGGAAUUUCGGGGACGAAAUUCUAUAAGGAGGGGAGAUUGUCACAGCCCGUUCCAAAAUAUUACAUUCGUGGCUGUGAAUGGACGAAAUUGCCCUUAAGAAAUACUAAGUAUGUGAAGCUCAAGUUGAUAAUUAUCUAAGUUCCUAAGUUUUGAAAAUAAAAUGGAAUUUAAUAAGGAUGGAACUUAGAUUUUUAGGUUAAAAUUUUGUGGUUUAGAGUUAGGGAUUAGAAAAGGACCACGUGGGAUCCCCAUUCCUUAUUUCCCUCCCCAUUUCCCGUAUACUGUCCUUCACACUCUCUCUCUCUCCUCCCUCACGAUUACUCUCAGUUCUCUCUCCCUCUCCUUCGAACUCACACGGACCACCACAAAACCACCUAAAACCUAUACCAACGACGAAUCUAACACCACCAUUGGAACCCUGAAGACUUCACGAUCACGAUGGUAUCCAUUUCAAGUAAGUUUUGCUUCGGAAAACCCUAGUUUCAAAGUUCCCGUGAAAUGGUACUGUUCAUGAUCUUUUAAAUGGUUACGAUUUAGGCUAAAACAAGAUCACAGCGAGCUUGGUGAGGUCCCAAGGAAGCUCGGAGUGCUUCGUUGGAAGUUUUUGGACGUAAGAACACGGAGAUCGACAAGUUCAAAGUUUGGCCGGAGCUUUCGAGGCUUUUUCCGGAGAAUACCCGGCGAGUUAGGAGUCGAGGUAGGUAUCAAUAUCUUCGUCUCGUCAAGUACUACAACUUUCCUUUUUGUUUCACUCAAUUUAGUUGAGUAUUGAAGAAGUUAUACUCAUUUGAAAAAUACCCAGUUUCCGGCGACCUCCGAGGCUUUCGAGGCAGUUUCCGGCCAAACCACGGCGAACUAGGUGUUGUGCAAGGUACCAUUCUCUUUGUAUAUUCCAGGGCUACAACUUUCGUUUUUGAAUCACUUGAUUUCGUUGAGAAAUGACAAAGUUAUGGCAAUUUGAAAAACUGCCCAGAAAACGGCCGCCGGAAAAACCAGUCCGGCGACCCAAGGAAGAAGAAGGUGCUACAGUAAAAAUAAAAAAUAAAAAUAAAAUUAUUUUAAAAAUAUGUCGACGUCCGUGACGUCGAGUAGAUCACUGUGGUAUAUUCAUAUACCUAAAUUGAACACCGUAUGAGAAAGUUAUUGAGGAUUGUUGGUUAGGUGUUCAAAUAACGUUUUAUAGUUUUCACAUUUAGGUGAAAAUGUGAAUUGAUGAUCCGACCGUUGGAUCAUCACCAAACUUUGAUACGUUGUAAUACGUAAUAUUUGAGGAUUAUUGGAACUUACGGAUUGGGAAUCCGAGUUACGGAUCUUCCGGAAUUGGAAUUGUAAGUCCAUAAUAUAAAAUGUUAACCGUCACUUAGUUUUGGAAAUUGACGGAGAUCCGACCGUUGGAUGGUAAUGAAAUUUUAGGAUGUUAUCCUAGAGAUAUAUUGUGGACCUCUGGAAGUUAUGGAUUUAAAAUUUGAGUGGCAGAUCUUCCGGAUCGAACUACGUAGUGACGUAUUUUAUAUAAGUAUAUAUAUCUAUCGAUAUGAAUUCUGAGGUUGGAUUUGAUUACUAUUCUAGGCGGCGAUCGUCGUGACGCCUUGAUGUGUGGUGCUAGGGAGUUGUUGGACGAACUCCAGGUGAGUGGGCAGUUUUGUUUUCCGUAUAUAUAUAUAUAUACUUAACGUUUUCCCAGAAAUUGAAAAUGCAUGAAAUUAUGUUUAAAAUGAAAUGCAUAUGAGUUAUGUGGAAAAACGGGAAGUGAAAUACCAUGCAUAGAAUUGAUAUGAAAAGUAUAUAGAAAUGUGAGUUGAAAUGCCAUGCAUGAAUUAAUAUAUGAUGCAUAUGUAUGAAUUGGUGCGGUGGACGCACAGGUAAGAAUUGAUUUAUGAUGCAUAUGUAUGAAAUGGUGCGGUGGACGCACAGAUGAGU
rnacentral:lncRNA from 1 species